rnacentral:lncRNA from 1 species
GAAAAUUUUGCCUUUGCUUUGAUAAUAGCCAGUCGAAAGCUUAGGCAAUAUUUUCAAGGUCGAUUCUUGGUCGUUUACACGGAUCAACCGCUGAAGAAGGUGAUGAGCAAACCAGAAGUUUUGGGGAGAUUGGUUGCAUGGACAAUGAAAUUGUCCCAAUUUUUCAUCGAAUUUCAUCCCCGAACAGCUAUAAAGGGGAAAGCCUUGGCUGAUUUUAUGGUGGAGUGUUCAUUUUCCGAAGCUGAUGCAGAGUUGCCAAAGGCUGAAGUGUCCGACCGAGCAGUUGUAGUUCUUCAGCACAACCAGAGUUCGUGGACGCUGUAUGCAGAUGGAUCUUCAACUACGGAUGUCAGUGGAGCAGGGAUUAUCUUGACAAGUUCGGAGGGAUUCAAGGUGCAGCAGGCCAUCAGAUUUGGGUUCAGAGCAACGAACAACGAGGCAGAGUACGAAGCAGUGCUAGCGGGAGUUCGACUGGCGAAGAGUCUCGAAGUUCAGAAGUUGAUCAUCUAAAAUGACUCUCAGUUGGUCGUCAAGCUGGUUUCAGGGGAGUAUGAAGCUCGAGGUUCAAGGAUGAUCAAGUAUUUGGCCGAGUUGAAGGAUCGACUUCAAUAUUUUCUCUCCUAUGAGUUUCAGGGUGUAGAUCACAAUGACAAUUCUAUUUCCGAUGCAUUGUUGAAGUUGGAUACUACAGAUGCCAACAAUUUUGAUGGGUCAGUUUAUUUGGAGGUUCUGCAACAGCUGAGUAUUCAGCAUGAAGCCGUGAUGUGCAUUGAACGUUCUAACUGUUGGAUGACUCCCUAUAUAGAAUAUCUGGCAGAUGGCAUCCUUCCUUCGGAUCAGAUGCUAGCAAAGAAGAUCAAGUAUAAGAGCGCUAAUUUUGUUCUCAUUGAUGGAGAUCUUUAUCGAAGGGCUUUUUCAUCACCUUUGUUGAAGUGUCUAGUUCUAUCUGAAGCCGAAUAUGCUCUUCGAGAGGUUUACGAGGGCAUCUAUGGCGACCAUAUGGCUGCUAAGUCAUUAGCCUUCAAAGUACUUCGACAGGGAUUCUACUGGCCUACUAUCUUCAAGGAAGCUACAGAGUACGUGAAGAAGUAUGAAAAGUGUCAGCUCAAUAGCCCAAUCCCGCAUCAGCCACCAGAAGAGCUAUACUCGAUCUUAUCUCCUAUACCCUUUGCUGUCUGGGGGGGUAGAUAUACUGGGUCCAUUGUUGAAAGAUAAGGGUCGGGUCAGUUUUGUUAUAGUCGCUAUUAAUUAUAUGACCAAAUGGGUAGAAGCGAAGCCACUUAGGUUGAUAACGGAACAAGAGUGCUUGAAGUUCAUGGAGGAGUCAGUAGUGUUUCAUUUCGGAAUUCCUAAGGUGGUGAUAUCGGACAACGGAUGCCAAUUUGUGGGAUCGAAGUUUGAAGGAUUUCUGAAGGAGUUGGGAAUUCAACAUAGAAAGACUUCGGUGGCUCAUCCACAGUCGAACGGGCAGGUCGAGGUGACCAACAGAACGCUGCUGAAUGGGAUCAAGCGCAGACUGGAUGAAGCUAAGGGGAGAUGGCCUGAAGAGCUUCUCAGCGUGUUGUGGGCUUAUCGAACUACUCCGAGGACCACUACAGGGGAUUCACCUUUCAGACUGGCCUAUGGUACUGAUGCCUUAGUCCCAGUUGAAAUUGGAUCUCCAAGUCUUCGGGUUAGUUAGUUCAAGGAGAUCUACAAUGAUGAAGGACUGAAAGUCAACAUGGAUCUGUUGGAAGAAGUCAGAGAGACAGCUUUGAUCAGAUUGGUAACCUAUCAGCGAAGAGUGGCUAAACAUUACAAUAAGGGGGUAAAACUUCAUAGAUUUGAAGUGGGAGAUUUUGUCCUCGGGGAAGUCGAAGCUUCUACACCUCAGAACUUGGAAAAGCUGAUGCCGAACUGGGAAGGACCGUAUGAAGUAGUUGAAGUUCCGAAGCCAGGAACUUAUCGGUUAAGGGCAUUGGACGGAUCCGAGAUCAAGAACACUUGGCAUGCUGGUAGAGUUCAGAAGUAUUUUCAGUAAAGAUCGAGUCAGUAUCCCGGAAGUCUGUAAAUGUUGGAUCAUCAUCAAUAAAAUAUUCACUUUUUCACAAUUGAUCUUCUUCCUAUUGGUUCUAAAUUCACAAUGGUGUAAAGAGGACGGGGUGGACUCGCUGACCAUUCGAUGGUAGCCUUUUUGGCAGGUGUUCCUUAUAAAUUUGUCAGGCCCUUCGUGGUAGGCAAACUUCAUCGGUGUAAGAAGGACGAGGUGGACUCGCUGACGAUUCGAUGGUAGCCUUAUCGGCAAGAGUGUUCUCAUGGGUUUGUUAUACCCUACGUGGUAGACAAAUUCCAUAGUCCUUUUAUGAUUUGUUUUACACCCCGAGUGGUAAACAAAUGCACCGAAGUAAGGAGGUUCGGUUGGACUCGCUGACCAUUCGAUGGUAGCCCUAUUGUUAGGUGUGUCCUAUUGAAUUUGUUCUACCCCGAGUGGUAAAUAGAUGUCCUUAUAUACUUGUUUCACCCCGAGUGAUAAACAAGAUCCUGAUGGUGCAAGGAGGAUCAGCCGAAUUCACCUUAUGCCUAAUCUGUCUCACACUUCGGUAACGAUAAGUAUGCAUUAUUUUAUUUUGUUCAAGUGUUGAGUUCGGUUCAUUAUGUCCGGUAUAUGAUAUUCUUUAACUUAAUUGAUUAUAUGAUCUGUUUGCUUACCUGGUUCACAAAUUUAAGUUAAGUUCAAACGCAUCUUAUACAGUUUUGAAGUUGAUUGAUGCUGAAUUAUUGACAAGAAAUGAACUAUACUGAAGUCAUAAGGAGUAAAGUUAACUAUUCAUUAAUACUUAACCGAUUACAUCAAAAAGGAUGAAAAUUCUUUACAAGAUAAACUUAAAUCUAGGAAGAAGUGAUAAACUAUUUCAGGCAUCAUCCUCGCCUUCAGAAGAGUACAGAAGAGCUGGGUCUAGAUGGGCUACAAUCAACUUUUCCUUGCCCCGACCUCUGCAAACUUCAUAACCCUCAGAAUAUACCUUUAGAACUUCUGCAUUCAGCUCAUCGGACUUCCGAUAUUCUUCUUGGAUUUGUUUACGCAGUUCUUCGGUCAGAGGAGGGCUUAACUCCUCUAAUGCCUUUAGUUUAUCUUGAAGCUUGCGACGUCUGGCCAAGUGUCUUUCUUUAUCAUCUCGAGCCUUCUCCUGGAGUUCAUCAACUCGUUUGGCCAAACUCAGAUUGGUUGUAGCCAUUUUUUCAUUUUUUGUCUUCAGAACCUCGUUCUUUUCAACAAGAUUGAUGUUCAUAUUGGUCAGAUCUUGUUGGCUGGCCUUAGUUGUCUUCAGCUCUUCUGUGAACGAGUUCAGUUCUUCCUUGGACGAUUUAAGCUCUUCCUUGGUCUGAGUUAAAUCCUUUUGAAGGCAUUCAUUGUUGAAGAGAGAAAUAUCACAGUCAUGUCUUGCCUUCGCCAUCGCAGACUGUAAUAUUACAUUCUCUUUUCUAGCCGCUUCUUCUGCGGCUUCGGAUUCAAGAUGUUUAGGGCGUAAACGCCCAAAAAUAGCAUUGGCCUGUACAUGUUCAGAAUUAUUUAAUCAAUCUCAGAUAUCUAACCUAAGCAUGAAAAGGAGUAUGAAGAUUGGGGAAGAUCUUUACCUGCGCUAUAUAGCUCAUGCCUUCAUCAAGUAGAUCCCCGAUCGAGCUGUUGCCAAAUCGAUGAUCGUCGGUUUCCCGAACAAACGAAUUGAAGAGCUGGAAGGGAAAGUUGGCAUUAAAUCGGGGCCAUAGAGUUGGCGAUGCCAUUGCUUCAUUUUGGAACUCGUAGGAUGAAGGUCCUAGGGGAGUGGGUAUGGGUUGAUCACGAGGUGGUGAUGGAUCCAUAUAUACAUUCUCAGGAGAUGGAGAUCGAAUUGGAGUAGGUUCUCGAGGUGGUGAUGGAGCAGACGUUGAAUUUGGGUGACUAUCUGAGGGAUGUUUUCUCUUUCGAGACAAUGCUGGAACAGGUUCGACUUGCUCUUCAUCAUCAGAGACAUGUAUCUCCACAAGGACUACAGGAGUUGGAUUAGCUGAAGAUGAAGGCACUCGAAGUUCAUCGGUUGUCAGAGGGGUGACUUUGGUUCUUAAUUUUUUGACUCGAAGGAGUCGUUUCCGAUCGUCUACGGGUAGAUCGAGUAAACUCCCUCGGCCAGAGGUUGGAUUGGUAGUUGGUGCAGGUUCUGGGAUAGUUUCAAUUUCUGGGAUUGUUUCAGGUUCUAUUGGUGUUGGUUUGGAUCUAGGUUUUCGGAUACCUCUCUUUUUUCGGUGUGGUUGAAGGGAUUCUUCUAGGGGAAUGAGGUCAUCGGCUUCUGGCUCAUUUAUUUGAGGUUCAGAAGUAUGUGUUUCAAGGGUUGGAUUGUCUUCGGGUGCAGCUUCUAUCAGGGGAGUUUCAGCAGCUUCCGAAGAUUUUCCAGACAGAAAAUCUUUCAAGUCUUUCACAUCCGAGGAUGUUUGCUUAAUCAAAGACACUGCAAAAGUCAAAAAGUCAUAUGUCAGAAUCUACAUCACUUCAAAUUUCAAAUAAUUGCACAACAAAAUAAUUCAGAACUUACAUUUGUGUUCAUCCAACCAGGCUUGCUUAGUAAGAAGCAGGUAAUUCCAUUCCUUUGACGGGAAGUUCUCGAACAGUUCUAUCAUUUCACUCACAUGUUCCUCUGGGAUGUCACCAAAGUCGGCAGAAACUACGUCAUCAGUGGCCCAGUUCGGCAAGGAGGCAAUCUCUGGUCCCUUAAUGAAGAACCACCCUUUGUGUCAUCCUUUGUUGCUAGAUGGGGUGGAGACCAACGAGCGUCUGCCAAAUUUCUCUCCUAACUUCGGAGAUUGUUUACCCAUGACCUUAAACCCCUUUUCUCGGGAUUGGCUGACCUUGUAGAUAGUGAAGAAGAAAUCGAGAGUGGGCUCUACUCCAACUUCAUGACAGAAUGCGAUGAAGGCCAGAAUAUGGAUGUAGGAGUUCGGUACCAACUGGGCGAACCCAACGCCAAUAAACCCUAGGAGGGUUAUUAUGAAUACAUGAAGAGGGAAUCGAACCCCCUUCUCAAGGAUGGUCACAAGAAUGGUCGUCCAACCUUCUGGCCUUUGAUACAUUCUCUCGCCGGAUCUAGGGGCUCUUACCAUGUGGGUGUCCGGAAUAUGAUAUCGAGUUCGAAUCCUUUUCAGUUCAAUUUCAGUAACGGUUGAUGGAGUGUUAGCAUGAGCAUAGCGUUCUGUACUCCUAUAGAAUUCAGAGGGGGUAGGAGAGGUUUUUGGAGGUGGGUUCUUGCUUGGAUUUGCAGUUUUGGGGUUCGAACUCGAGGCUUCUUUGUUAGGGCUUGGGUUAGGCAGAACGGUGGUGAUUGGAGUCACAGAAGAGGUGAACCUUGCUCGAAAUCUUGAGAAGCCAUGGAUAUCGAGUUGCAGUAAGGAGAAGAGAGUUCGAAGGAGAAGACAAAGAACUCAAGGGUCAGAAAUUCAAAUUGACAGGUAAAACUAUCAAUUUAGGGGAAAUUAUCUUUUAUACUAACGGUUACACAGUACACGAGGGCAGCACAUUAAUUGACAGUCAUAAUCAUGAAUUUGGAGGGGUAGCGUCCAAGAGAAGUUUUGAUAUUUAACCGGUUUGGGUCUUUCAUUUGGGCUUUCGGUUUUAGUUCAUCUUCUUAUUUUAAUUCAUUUUCGUUUGGGCCUUAAUGAAUUUCGUUUUGGGGGUCUUUCAAUCCUAUUUGAUUCUUCAUAUCAUGGACCAUUUAUUUUUUUCUAUUAAACACCUUGUUUAAUAAAAAACUAGGGGGCAAUGUUGGGUCAUGAUAUUUCACCUACUGGGCCGAAUGGAUUGGGCCUACGUAUUUGGUUAUUCUCUUGGGUCAUUAUUAUUGGGCCUUGUUAUUAGACUAAUUCAUUGGAUUAUCUUGAUUGGGUCUUACAAAGUCUUGGGCCGAAUUAUUGAACCGACCCAUUAGAUAAUUUAAAUAUCUACAUCUUUGAGUUGCAAUGAUGGAAAAAGAUAACGGUUGGCCGAGAUCUCUGCCAUCCAUUAAUGUGGAUGGGAUUAUAGUCGGCCGACGGUGGUGAACAGUGAUAGUAUGUAGUGGGUGAGCUGCAUGCAGUCGGAUGAGACCGUUAGAUUCAGUGGAUAGACGUCAGAUAGCAGUAGAAGGCAUGGUUAACCGGGCAGGAGAGUAUAACAUAGCAAGGAAGUCAUCCAAGUAAAGGUAACUGAUAAUUUUAUCUUUCUCAAUACACUAGAUAUUUUAUCCUCCAUUGUUAGCCUUGUGAUCGCCUAUACUGACUCUUACGCCUGAGCUAUCCCCCGACGGUCGAAGCCGUCAAGAUUUUGGUGUUGAUCGUGUUUAUUGUGCAGGAUCAGGACGUCUUACGUUAUUGGGACAUAGCAGAAGAUCUUGGUAUUAACACUAAGUAUGUUUCGUACAUACGUUAAAACUAGUGCUAAGACACUUAUUCUCUUCUAUGAUAAUCAUGUGUUAGGUAUUUUUCUUUUCAUUGACGUUGAUGAAUUUCUGGUUUUGGAUUAAUUAAUUCUCAGGUUUAAUUGAUGCAUAAGUUUGAAAAAAGGUUAAUUUUGUCUAACAAAAACUUAAAAACAUCACAAGUAAUUAAAUUUUAGAGAGAGUGUGUGUAUAAAAGUUUUAGAGAGAGAAGUUAAAAGGAAGAUAUAAAAAAUAAAUUUAAAGUAAUUUAUUUAAUUGGACCAUAAUAAAUUAAUAAUGGUAAGCUUGAAAUUUGAAAUACGUGUUUACCUAUAUUUGACCCAUAACUAUAUAGUUUCAACCCACAUAAUUCAUAAUUAUAUAAUUCCAACCCACAUAAUCCAUAAUUAUAUAAUUUCAACCCACAUAAUUCAUAUUAAAAAUAAGUAAUAUGGUUUUAAUUCUUAAAUAGAAUCAUAACUAAAUUAUAUAAACCAAAAUUAACCCAUUACCAUACCUACGUAUAUAGAAAAUAAUAAUAUUGUGUAACUUAUUUGGAAUUCAUAAUGAGCUACCGCAACAGAAUUGAUCUUUCUGAAUGACCAAAUUACUACUCCCUUAAUGCCUUAAAUGUUGGCUUGAUGAGAAACCUUCAAUAGCCUUCCUAGUAUUAUGAAAAUUGGUAUGUGUAUAGAAUCAAGGGGGAUGACAUAGUUCUUUAUUUAUAAUAAUUCUGAUUAGCAAUCCUAGUGAAACUACUUAUCACAAUCUCAAAAUGUUAUUUAAAUAACUCAUACUGGUCAAUCUAUAACGCUCCCAAAAUAAGUAUACAUCAUCUAUUUUGAGUCGUCAAAUACAUGGUACAAAAUACAAAUACAAACUUAAUUAUAGAACAUGAGCUGAGAGUUUUUACACGAAUAUUGUCUUCUAGACAAUAUCUAAACUCAAAUGGAGUCCUCAUUAUAAUUAUUAUCACAUUAUUUCAUAGAAUAGUGAGUACUACUACAACACCAUCUCAAAUCAUUACUCCGUUCCCCGACAAGUCCCGGCUACGUUUUCAUUUCCUGAAGAGAACAAUGAAAGCAAAAGGGUGAGCUCAACUAGCCAGUAAGAAAUAUUAUGACUAAGUUAAUACAGAAUAAAUUAUCGUUAGCCUUCAACAGUGUUAAGCUGAUAAAAUACAAUAAACAUCAAGUUUAACUGCAGCGGAACAAGCAAUCCAUUAGAAGAGUAAAGUAGAGCAUGAUAUCUACUAUCUUCUAUGAUUUAAAAAGGUUAUCAUCAAUUUUAUCGUUGAGACUCAGCUUAAUAAAUAAUCCACAUCACUAAAUUAUCCAUGCACUACGGGCCAAUGAGGACUUUUACCACAUUAUAUGUAACAUUACGGUCAUGAUUAUACUGAAUAAUCCCUGGUCAUAAUCAUACUAAUCAACAGUACAUCUAUGCACUACGACCAAAGAUGACUUUCAUCACAAUAUAAGCAUGAGGAUGAUGACAAUGAUACAAGAAUUCAAUUAAAUAAAAGCAAAGAUAAAUUUUAAAGAUUUAUAAUUUAAUUUAUCCAGAAUUCAAUAGCGCCCAAAUUGUCAACAUGAUACUGCUUUGUGGAGUAAAUUAUUAUAUCAAAAAUAAUUUGGACAGAGAAGAAAUUAAUUUUUGUCAUGAAUAGUACCUGAGUGAAUAGUACCCCAUGAAUAGUACUUUAUAAAUAGUACUUCGGAAAUAGUACUUUAUGAAUAGUACCCCGUGAAUAGUAUUUUGUGAAUAGUACCUCGUGAAUAGUACUUUGUGAAUAGUGCCCUAUGAAUAGUACUUUGUGAAUAGUACCCCGUGAACAAUACUCCAACAUGAAAAGAUUAAAAAUUAUCAAAAAUGUUCAGAAAAAUAUCCUUCUGAAAUGAUACUAGAUGAAGCGCAAAUUUCAAGGAUAUUCUACUAAUUUCACGGAAUAUAGAAUCAAUACUUUAACAAAAUGAGUGUAGAAGUAGGUGUAAGACCCCAAAUUUUAUAAAUAAAAUUGAAUUUCCUCUAUUUAUUAUUUUGAAAUAAUAAGGUGUUAAUUUGAUAUAAUACUUUGGUUAUGGGUGAAAUGAACAAAUUUUGCAAAAUAAGCAAGUAGUUAUAAAAUAUUCAUUGUUGUCGGGGAAUAUUCGUUUGGUCGUGAAAUAUUCUUGUUGUCACGAAAUAUUCGUACGACGGCGCAGCCAUUUGUGGGCCCUAUAACGUAAAACGUUCAGAUGAAGACAAAUGAAUAUUUGGUUCAAGAUGUAUAUUGAUUGAUGUUUCAGGGAUAAAAUAUUGAUGAUGGACUUUAAAAUCAUAGAAGACAUUAGAUUUUAUUCUCUACUAAACUCUUCUAAUGAAUUGUUAUUUUCGCUGUGAAUAUUGAUCUAAAACUUGUUGUCCAUUAUAUUUUAUCUGAUUUGUUGAAGGCUAACGAUAAUUGUUGUUCAUUAUCUUAGUCAUAAUAUUCUUUACUGGGCUAGUUGAGCUCACCCUUUUCCUUUUUGUUCCAUUUUUUUCUCAGGAGGCGAGAAUAUAACGGGAACUAGUCGGGGUAUGGAAUGAUGGUUCUAGACAGUUAUUUUAGCAGUUCUCACUAUUUUUGUAAAAUAGUGUAUCAAUAAUUAUAAUGAGGACUUAUUUGAGUGUGGAUAUUGUCUAGAAGACAAUAUUUGUAUUUAAACUCACAGUAUAUGUGUUAUCAUAUUUUGCACGACAAUUGUAAUAAUAAAGUUGUAGUUGUUUUCUGUACCAUGUUUUUGGCGACCAAAGAUGGGUGAUGUAUACCUAUUUUGGGGGCGUCACAGUUGGUAUUAGAGCUUAGGGAUAUGGUCUCUGGCGGAGAUAGAACUAGGAGGGGAGAGACGAGUAAAUCCUUCGCUAGUGUGUCCUACCUAAGCUUAUUUGUUGGUUGGUCAGAAUAUAGGGGUAUUAUGUGGUAUGUUAUUUUCUUUAAUUAACCCUUGUUUUGUGGCAAUAUUUGAGAAUGGUAGCUGGAAAUGUUAACAACGGAGUAAAUGAGACCGUGGAGACACCUUUAAUCACCAACCAGGAGAACGUGCAACAGGACGACAAUGUUCCUCUUGUAAACAACACCACCGAUCAAAUGAUGAAUGAUGGAUGUUUAGAAGCUUUUUUGCAGUUCAUGCAAAAUCAGACGAGGGAGACUCGUGAACAAAAUACGGGUGAAAAUGAUAGCAACGCGCGGCUUGUCACAGCCAAGUAGUUCAAAGAGUUGGGACCACAAGAGUUUUUGGGAAAGCCAAAUCCGAUUAAGGCAAAAACGUGGGUUAAGAAAAUUUCAAGAUAUUUGAUGUCUUGGGAUUCAUAGAGGAAUAGAAGGUUCUAUUCUCCACCUUUAUGUUCCGUGGUUAGGCAGAUUACUGGUGGGAAUCUGUGAAGCAUACCCAGCCAGCCGCACUCAAUAUAUCUUGGGAAAUAUUUUAGAAACUGUUUAAUGACAAGUACUUUCCUGAAAGUAUUCGUCAUAUGAAGGAGGUAGAGUUUAUUAGACUGGAACAGAACAACAUGACUGUGUCCCAGUACGAGGCUAAUUUUGCGGAGUUAUCCAGGAUUGCACCUCAUUUGGUAGAGAAUGAGGAACGUAUGACGCGGAUGUUUUUAAGAGGGUUGAAACCCAAAAUUUAUCAGUACCUUAUUUCUCACAAAUUUUCUCUAUAUUCAGAUGUUGUUAACAAGGCUCAAUUAUUAGAGUGAGAUAAUGAGUAUGUUCAACCGAGGGCAGCAGUCAUCAGAGCAAUGAUAACCAGCGGGAAGGAAAAAAUACGGACAAAAGCGAUAACCACUCUGGUGGUAAUCAUGGCCAUGAUAGUAGAAGAAGCGAGUCGAGGGGAGAUUUCAAAAAGAGAAGGUACAACAAUGACAAUGUGAAGACGUCAGCAUCAACAUCAACUGUUUCUAGGGGAGGAGAACGACCACCGGUCGUAUGUUAUAAAUGCUGGAAAGAGGGACACAUCAGCCCAAACUGCCCACAACAAUUCAAGGUAUGUUAUAACUGUGGAAAGGAAGGUCAUAUAGCUCGAGAUUGUUCUAUAGAAAAACCAAGUCCAGCGAGGAUGGUGAUUCCAAAGGCUGUCCCGGACAAGUAAAAGUCAACGGUUCCUGAAAGAACGUUUGUCGUGACUGGCCAAAACGCGAGGAGCCCAAACGAGGUGAUCACGGGUAAGCUAAUUAUAAACUCUUGCGAAGUUAAUACCUUAUUAGAUACCAUUUCUACCCAUUCUUUUAUCUCUCUUUCUUGUGCUCAACGUUUGAACUUAACUCCGGAGAAAUUAGACUUUGACUUAUCUAUUGAGACUCCGUUAGGAGAAACUUUCAUUACACUCACUGUUUAUAAAUCUUUCUUGAUCCAAGUUAGCAUAAUCACAUUACCUGUUGAUCUUAUCUCUUUAAAGAUACUUGCAUUUGAUGUGAUUUUAGGAUUGAUUGGUUAAGAUCUCAUCAUGCUAAAAUUGAUUAUUUUCGUAAGGUUGUUAGUUUUCAUAUUCCUAACCAACCUGUUAUGCCAAUUCAAGCGACCAAACUGCUAAAUUUAAUCACUGUCAUAUCAAGCCAUAAAUCCAUUCGUUUAUUAAAAAAUGGAUGUCAAGCUUUCUUAGCCCAUGUCAUGGACUUGAACAAAAACACGUCAGAUUUGAAUAAUAUUUCUGUUGUUAGUGAAUUUCUUGACGUAUUUCCUGAAGAACUUCCUGGUCUACCCCCAGAACGUGAAGUUGAAUUCUUUAUUGACCUUGAACCUGGUACAAAACCCAUUUCUAAAACCCCAUAUAGAAUGGCUCCUAUUGAAUUUCAGGAGUUAAAGGUCUAACUACAGGAGUUGUUAGACAUCGGUUUCAUUCGUCCUAAUACAUCUCCUUGGGGUGCUUCUGUUUUAUUCAUAAAGAAGAAAGACGAGAGUAUGCGACUUUGUAUUGAUUACCGGGAAUUGAACCAUGUCACCAUCAAUAAUAGGUAUCCGCUAUCUCGCAUUGAUGACCUAUUCGACCAGUUGCAAGGAGCACAAUUCUUUUCAAAGAUCGAUCUUCGUUCUGGAUAUCAUCAGCUGAAGAUUAAAACUGAGGAUAUUCCGAAGACUGCCUUCAGAACUCGGUACGGGCAUUAUAAAUUCUUAGUCAUGUCUUUUGGAUUAACUAAUGCUUCUGCUGCUUUCAUGGAUAUGAUGAACCGUGUGUUCAAGGAAUAUUUGGAUUAGUUCGUUGUUAUCUUUAUUGAUGAUAUCCUCAUCUAUUCCAAAAGCCGUAAAGAUCAUGAGCACCAUUUGAAGCUGGUACUUCAAAGGUUUUGUGAAAAUAAGCUAUAUGCCAAGCUGAAGAAAUGCAACUUUUGGUUUGAGGAAGUAGCAUUCCUUGGGCAUGUGGUGUCAAAACAUGGAGUAUCUGUUGACCCGACGAAGAUUGAAGCAAUACAAAGUUGGGAACAACCGAAGUCGGUGACCGAAGUACGUAGCUUUCUGGGCUUAGCCGGUUAUUAUCUUAGAUUUAUGGAAGGAUUUUCUCGAAUUGCUACUCCGUUAACUCAGCUGACUCAGAAAGAUACAAAAUUCGUAUGGAGUGAGGAAUGCGAGAAGAGUUUCCAAGAGCUCAAGAGGAGACUCAUUUCGGCACUUGUUCUAUAAAUACCAUCUAGUUCGGAUGGAUUUGUUAUCUACAGUGAUGCUUCAGGCAAAGGGUUAGGAUGUAUUCUCAUGCAACAUGGGAAAGUUACAGCCUAUGCCUCGCAACAACUCAAAGAAUAUGAGAGGAAUUAUCCUACUCAUGAUCUGGAGUUGGCAGCAAUCGUUUUCUAGUUGAAAAUUUGGAGACACUACUUGUAUGGGGAGAAAGUGGAGAUUUAUACGGAUCAUAAAAACCUCAAAUAUUUUUUCACCCAAAAGGAACUCAACAUGCGACAACGACGUUGGCUCGAGCUAUUGAAAGAUUAUGACCAUACCAUUCAAUAUCAUCCUGGAAAAGUAAACGUGGUAGCUGACGUAUUGAGUAAAAGAUCGUUUACGGGUACGAGUGCGAUGUUUUUAACACAAAGACCCAUUUUGUAAGACUUACAAAGGAUGGGGAUAGAGUUAAAGGCUCCAAGUGCCCAUAUGAUGAUAUCAAACAUAUGAGUAGAACUGACUUUAAUCGAUAAAGUUAAAGCUGCUUAAGCCACAGACCCAGAGUUGAUGCUUAUGAAGAAGAAAGUACAAGAAGGUGUUAUUCUAGAAGCAAUAAUCGAUGAAGAAAGAAUACUUUGAGUCAACUCCAGACUUUUCAUUCUUAACGAUUCUGACUUAAAGCAUAGAAUCAUGAUGGAGGCACACAACACACCAUUUUCAAUCCAUCGUGGGAGUACCAAAAUGUAUCAUGAUCUUCGAUAUACAUUUUGGUGGAACAAUAUGAAGAGAGAUAUCGCGGAGUUUAUCUCGAGGUGUUUAACUUGUCAACAUGUAAAGGCGGAGCAUCAAGUGUCAAAGGGUCCAUUGCAACCACUUGAGAUUCUGAAAUAGAAGUGGGAACACAUUACCAUGGAUUUCGUAAUGGAUCUUCCCAAGGUUUCUCAAGGCAUAAAUGUGAUUUGGGUUAUUGUUGAUAGAUUAACCAAGUCUGCUCAUUUCUUGCCGAUACGGGAGACUUAUUCCCUUGAACGUCUUGCUCGUAUGUACGAGAAUGAGAUUGUGAGAUUGCAUGGCAUGACAGUAUCCAUAGUUUCGGAUCGUGACCCAAGAUUCACUUCAAGAUUUUGGGUUAGCUUGUAGAAAGCUAUGGGCACGGAUUUACGAUUCAGUUUGGCAUACCAUCCUCAAACGGACGGGCAAUCGGAAAGGACUAUUCAAACUCUUGAAGAUCUAUUAAGACUCUGUGUCCUAGAUUUAAAAGGAAGUUGGGAUAAAUACUUGUCAUUAGUGGAAUUCUCCUACAACAACAGUUAUCAAACAAGUAUAGACAUGGCUCCAUUUGAGGUGUUGUACGGACGAAAGUGUCGUUCUCCAGUAUGCUAGGACGAGGUGGGUGAAGCAAGGUUGUUGGGACCAGAAUUGGUACGCAUGACUACAGAAAAGAUCCAAACGAUUCGACAACGUAUACAAAUGACACAGGAUCGACAAAAGAGUUAUGCGGAUCUUCAUCGAAAGGACGUUGAAUUUAAUAUUAGGGAUCAUGUAUUGUUAUGUAUUGCUCCAUGGAAGGAAGUUACAAGAUUUGGGAAGAGAAGAAAGCUCAAUCCAUGAUUUGUUGGUCCAUUUGAGAUUCUUGACCGAAUAAGAAAUGUGGCCUAUAGACUCGUAUUACCUCCAAGCAUGUCUCGUGUUUAUAAUGUUUUUCACAUAUCUAUGCUUCAUAAAUAUGUGAAAGACCCAAACCACAUUAUUGAGUUAGAACCAGACGAGAUAGCCGAAGAUUUAACGUACGAGGAGGUACCUGUCAAGAUCUUAGAUAGGAAAGAGCAUGUCUUACGCACAAAGAUUAUACCAAAAGUCAAAGUUUUAUGGAGGAACCAUGCUAUUGAGGAAAUGACUUGGGAGUUGGAAUCAGAAAUGAAAGUGAGGUAACCUCACCUUUUCGAAACACCAGGUACAUACGUCAAUUUCGAGGACAAAAUUUUAUAAUGAGGGGAGGUUGUAAGACCCCAACUUUUAUAAAUAAAAUUGAAUUUUCUCUUUUCAUUAUUUUGAAAUAAUAAGGUGUUAAUUUGAUAUAAUUCUUUGGUUAUGAGUAAAAUGUGCAAAUUUUGUAAAAUAAGCAAGUGGUUAUAAAAUAUUCAUUGUUGUCGGGGAAUAUUCGUUUGGUUGUAGAAUAUUCUUGUUGUCGGGGAAUAUUCGUACGACGAUGAAUCCAUUUGUGGGCCCCAUAAUGGAAAACAGUCGGAUGAAGAAAACAACAAAUUUGAGUUUUUAUAAAUAAUGGCGUAGUUGUUACCAUUAACACUGUUGGAAUACCUGAUGGUUAAAGUACAGUAAUACGCGUGGUUGCACAGUAGCACACGGUAUUGCACAGUAUUUUUGGAUUAUUGAUUCUUACAUAAGAAGGCACUACUCAAUAAUUUUUACAGUAAUUACUGUUCAAUAUUUUAUUUUAUUGAUUCAUUAAUUAUUAAGUUGAUAUUUUAUAUUAUUGUUAAUUCAAUAAUUGUCACUGCAUAGUAUUUCCCAUUAUCAUAUCAAUAAUUUAUAUUAUUUGAAUAAUAUUAUUAGAUUUUAUUAUUGGCAAUGUCUAAGAAGUUCUAUCUAGGAAAGGGGUUUGGUCACCUAAUUGCGCGCCAGUAAGGAGAAAUCCUUAUCGGAAAGCCCCCUUCUUUCCUGGGAACGACCUGAUUGUCAUAAUUGUGAUUCUGUAAUAUUAUUUGUGAAUAAUUAAUUAUUGAUUUAUAUGAUAAGAAAAUAUUUAUUUUAUGUGGAUAUAAAUGAAGGAAUUAAUGCUGAGGUGUUUUAUCAGUAUUUUGUCAGAAUGAAGGUAUUAAAAAUCGUCCGUAUGUAAAUUUUGGUCAUUUUCUGCUUGGAAUUUGGAAAAAUUUUAUCCUACAAAGUUGUAGAGAAUUACAUUUCCUAUGGAAUGGACAUAAAAUUCGUAUUUUUCUAUGAAAAGGGCAAUUUAUUAUGAAUUAUUGAAGUUUUGGAAAUAAAUGUUUUUUAAUUAAAAAUAUGGGUGGGCCCUACUUUUGGUUGGUAUGAAAAUUCUGAAUUUGGUGGGCCCCACUGUGGUGUGCUGAUAUUUGAUCAAUUGUGGCGUGCGUGAAAAUUUUUGAUAAAAUAUUAUUUUAUUAAUUUAGUCUGCUUUGGCAUUCUAGCAUUUUCCUAUAACUAGGAUUCUUAGUUAGAAUUGAAAAUCACACCAGAAUCAGAAGUUUUCUUUCUCUAUAAUAUCGAGAGUAUUUUUGUGAGUAUUUAGAUACUUUGAGAGUUGCUAUUCAGUGCAAGUUCCUUCAGCAUUAUAUCUGAUAUUUCAGCUAGAAGUGCUAUUCUUUUGAGGUAAGGGAUAUUAUUUUCUUCGUAAAUGAUGUUAUUUCUUUCAAUAUCAUUAUACUGAAAUAUUAGUAUGAAUUUUAUUAUGAAAUUUUUACCUUUUCAUGUUGAGGUUACUAUUCACGAAUACGACACUAUUCACGUAUACGACAUUAUUUACAAAUACGAUACUAUUCACCAAAAAAUGAAAUUUUUUCUUCUUUGUCCCAGAUGGCUAUUAUGGUUACUAUCUUUGAUUGUAUCCAUGUUUUGAUCUUUAUUAUUGAAUUUUUCUCCACUAUGGUUUAUUAUGGAGUAUUUUUGAAUUUGGAUUAUCUAAAGUACGAAUCCCUAAUCUUUGUCCGUUAUUCUCAAUGGAUUCGUUCUUUAAAAUAUUUUUCAUCAUCCUCAGUCUUUAAUGGUGAUACUUGAUGAAUAUCUUUGGCCUGUAGUACAAAGAUGAAUGAUUACCUAAUGAAUAUAUUUGACCCAUAGUGCAAAGAUGGACAGGUGUUGAGAUGAACAUGACCAACUGUUGAUACAAAUGAAUAUCUUUGGCCCGUAAAACAAAGAUGAAUAUUUGGUUCAAGAUGUAUAUUGAUUGAUGUUACAGGGAUAAAAUAUUGAUGAUAAACUUUUAAAUCAUAGAAGACAUUAGAUUUUAUUCUCUACUAAACUCUUCUAAUGAAUUGUUAUUUCCGCUGCGAAUAUUGAUCUAAAACUUAUUGUCCAUUAUAUUUUAUCUGAUUUAUUGAAGGCUAACAAUAAUUUAUUGUUCAUUAUCUUAGUCAUAAUAUUCUUUACCGGGCUAGUUGAGCUCACUAUUUUCCUUUUUGUUUCAUUUUUCUUCUCAGGAGGCGAGAAUAUAGCGGGAACUAGUCGGGGUAUAGAAUGAUGGUUCUAGACAGUUGUUUUAGCAUUCCUCACUAUUUUUGUAAAAUAGUGAAUCAAUAAUUAUAAUGAGGACUUAUUUGAGUGUGGAUAUUAUCUAGAAGACAAUAUUUUUAUUUAAACUCACAGUAUAUAUGUUAUCGUAUUUUGCACGACAAUUGUAAUAAUAAAGUUGUAGUUAUUUUCUAUACCAUAUUUUUGACGAUCCAAGAUGGGUGAUGUAUACCUAUUUUGGGGGCGUCACAGUAGGAAUACAAACCAAAUAAUAUUACUUACAUACUACAGAGUAUGGAAAAAAUAUUAUUUCAUACGAGUAUUGAACAAAAAUAUUAUCCCUUACCUUAGAAGAAGACUGUAUACUAGAAUAAUGAAGUAGCAGAAUACUCUUCUUCUUUCUCUCUAUAGUUUCUCUCUUUAUAAUUUCUCUUGUGAGUCUUAAUGAAUUGGUGAGAAUGAAAGAAGAAUGAGCUUCUAUUUAUAGGAAAACAUAGUUUCGAUAAUUGCACGUUUUGGGGCUCGAAUUAUUAUAGUAUAUUAUUACCUUCAUCUUUUCCUCCAUUUUAAAUUUAGUCCUACAAGUAUUAUCAAACUUGCACCACCUCCCCUAAUAGUACAUGAAUGUGAAUCAAUACUUCCAUUCAUGUGAAUAAAUAGUUAUAUGCAUGUAAACUAAUAGCAAUUAAUUGCUCAUUUAUCCGAUUAAUUACCCGAUUGGUCAAUUUAACCUCCAGAAAUCAAUUAUUAUCGAAAUAAAUGUUGAUUUCCACUAACACUAAUAAUCCCAACACAAUGGAAAUAUCAAUUUUAUCUUUAAUCAACGCAAACUUAUUCAUCUUUAAUAUUAUAACUCAUAGUAUCUAACAACCAGAUCAUUCCCAGGAAAGAGGGGGCUUUCCGAUAAAGAUUUCUCCCUAUUGGCGCACAAUUAGGUGACAAAACCCUUUUCCUCGACAGAACUUUCUAGACAUCGUCAAUAAUGCAAAUAAUAAUAUGAAUAACUUUUAUAUCUCAAUUAUUGAUUUAAUAAUAUAAAAUAUUAUGCAGAUGAUACUGUGACAAUAAUUGAAUCAAUAAUAUGAGAGAUAUUAUGCAGUAAUUAUUGUAGCAAUAAUUGAGUAUAACUGAGUGACUUCUCACGUAAGCAUUAAUAAUCAAAGAUAUUGUACAAUACCGUAUGCUACUAUGCAACCACGCGUAUUACUGUAAUUUUACCACCAGGUAUUUCAACAGUUAACGGUAAAAUUUUCGUCGUUAAUUUUAUAAAAAUAUAUUUCUGUCAUUUUCUAACUCCGACAAUACAUCCAUUAUAAGACCACAACUUUUAUAAAUAAAAUUGAAUUUCCUCUAUUCAUUAUUUUAAAAAAAUAAGAUGUUAAUUUGAUAUAAUGCUUUGGUUAUGGGUGAAAUGUGCAAAAAUUUCAAAAUAAGCAAGUGGUUAUAAAAUAUUCAUUGUUGUCGGGGAAUAUUCGUUUGGUCAUGGAAUAUUCUUGUUGUCGGGGAAUAUUCGUUUGGUCAUGGAAUAUUCUUGUUGUCGGGGAAUAUUCGUACAACGGCGCAGCCAUUUGUGGGCCCCAUAACACAAAAACGGUCGGAUGAAGAAAAUGACAAGUUUGAGUUUUUAUAAAUUACGGGGUAGUUGUUACCGUUAACACUGUUGGAAUACCUGAUGGUUAAAGUACAGUAAUACGCGUGGUUGCACAGUAGCACAUGGUAUUGCACAGUAUUUUUGGAUUAUUGAUUCUUACGUAAGAAGGCACUACUCAAUAAUUGUUACAUUAAUCAUUGUUCAAUAUUUUAUUUUAUUGAUUCAAUAAUUGCUGCGUUGAUAUUUUAUAUUAUUGUUGUUUCAAUAAUUACCACUGCACAAUAUUUCCCAUUAUCAGAUCAAUAAUUCAUAUUAUUUGAAUAAUAUUAUUAGAUAACCUUAUUGGCAAUGUCUAAGGAAGUUCUGUCUAGAAAAGGGAUUUGGUCACCUAAUUGCGCGCCAGUAAGGAGAAAUCCUUAUCGGAAACCCCCUCUUUUCUGGAAACGACCUGGUUGUCAUUAUUGUGAUUCUGUAAUAUUAUUUGUGAAUAAUUAAUUAUUGAUUUAUAUGAUAAGGAAAUAUUUAUUUUAUGUGGUUAUAAAUGAAGGAAUUAAUGUUGAGGUAUUUUAUCAGUAUUUUGUCAGAAUGGAGGUAUUAACAAUCAUCUGUAUGUGGAUUUCAGUCAUUUUCUGUUUAGAAUUUGAAAAAACUUUCUUCUACAAAGUUGUAGAGAAUUAAAUUUCUUAUGGAAUGGACAUAAAAUUUAUAUUUUUCUGAUAAAGGGCUAUUUAUUAUGAAUUAAGUGGAAUGAAGAUAUCAAAUUGAUUUAGUUUUCGAAUUAAAUUUGAAUUCUUUUAUUUUUUUUUUCAAAAAACAUAUGUUAAUGGUGGGUGAGCAAAGGUUGGCUUUAAAAAGUCUUGUUUCAAAGUAGGUGGGCUACAAAUAAUGUGCGUAUGUAAAUUUUAUCAGUAAUGGUGGGCUGACAUUUCCCUAUAAAUAGGGUGCUUAGUUAGAAAUGAAAUCACACCAUAAUCAGAAGUUUUAUCUCUAUAAUAUCAAACGUAUUUUUGUGAUUAUUUAGAUAAUUUGAGAGUUGCUAUUCAGUGCAAGUUUUUUUCAACAUUAUAUCUGAUAUUCCAAUCAGAAGUACUGUUCUUUUGAGGUAAGGGAUUUUUUUUUUUUUUCAUAAAUGAUAUUAUUUCUUUCAAUAUCAUUAUACCAAAAUAUUGGUAUGAAUUCUUGUGGAAAUUUUACCUUUUCAUGUCUAGGCUACUAUUCACGUAUACGACACUAUUUACGUAUACGACACUAUUCACGAAUACGGUACUAUUCACAAGUACUAUUCACGAAGUAUGAUUUUUCUUGUGAAAUUUCUACCUUUUGGUGUCAGGGUUACUAUUCACGUACAACACUAUUCACGUAUACGACACUAUUCACGAAUAUGGCACUAUUUACUGAAAAAAUUAAAAUUUUUUUCUUUGUCCAAGUUGUCUAUUAUGGUUACUAUCUUUGAUUGUAUCCAUGUUUUGAUCUUCAUUCUUGAAUUUUGCUCCACAAUUAAUUAUUAUGGAGUAUUUUUGAACUUGGAUAAAGUAAAGUACGAAUCCCUAAUAUUUGAUCUUUUAUCUCACUGGAUUCGUUUUCUUUAAGAUAUUUUUCAUCAUCCUCAGUCCUAAAUGGUGAUAUAACUGAAUAUCUUUGGCCUGUAGUGCAUAGAUGAAUGAUUACCUGAUGAAUAUUUUUGGCGCGUAUUGCAAAGAUGGACAGGUGUUGAGAUGAACAUGACCAACUGAUGAAUAUCUUUGGCCUGUAGUGCAAAGAUGAAUAUUUGAUUCAAGAUGUAUAUUGUGACGCCCCCAAAAUAGGUAUACAUCACCUAUCUUGAGUCGCCAGAUACAUGGUACAUAAAUCAAAUACAAACUUAAUUAUACAACAGUCGUGUAAAAUACGACAAAACAUAGCUGAGAGUUUAAACAAGAAUAUUGUCAUCUAGAUAAUAUCCAUACUCAAUGGUGUCCUCAUUGCAAUUAUUAUCACAUUAUUCUGUAGAAUAGUGAAGACUACUAAAGCCAUUUAUCCUGGACCAUCACUCCAUUCCCCGACUCGUCCCAGCUAUAUUCUCAUUUCCUGAAGAGAACAAUGAAAGAAAGGGUGAGCUCAACUAGCCCAGUAAGAAAUAUUAUGACUAAGAUAAUGCAGAAUAAAUUAUCCUUAGCCUUCAACAGUAUAACAACUGAUAGAAUACAAUAGACAACAAGUUUUAGAUCAACAACUGCAGCGGAAAUAAGCAAUCCAUUAGAAGAGUCAAGUAGAGCAUAAAAUCUACUAUCUUCUAUGAUUUAAAAAGUUUUUCAUCAACUUUAUCGCUGAGACUCAGCUUAAUAAAUAAAAUCGAAUCAUCCCUGCACCACGGCCAAGGAUAUUCAUGUAAUCAUCAAUGGUCAUGAUUAUACCGAAUAAUCCCUGGUCAUAAUCAUACCAACAACUGUCCAUCAAUGAACUACAGGCCAAUGAGGACUUUUACCACAUCAUUCGUCACAUUACGGUCAUGAUUAUACCGAAUAAUCCCUGGUCAUAAUCAUACCAAGUCCAUCUAUGCACGUAAGCCAAAGAUGACUUUCAUCACAAUAUAAGCAUGAGGAUGAUGACAAUGACAUAAUAAUUCAAUAAAACAAGUUCAAGGAUAAAUUUUAAAGAUUUAUAAUUUAAUUUAUCCAGAAAUCAAUAACGCCCAAAUUGUCAACAUGAUACUGCUUUGUAGAGUAAAAUUCAAGAAUAAUAUUCAUGUACAAAAAAUAAUUUGGACAGAAAAGAAAUAUAUUUUUCGGGUGAAUAGUAUCCCGUGAAUAAUACUUUGGGAAUAGUACCUCAUGAAUAGUACCUCGACACGAAAAGUGUCCCGAAUACCCGAGUGAAUGAUACUAGAGUGAAUAGUAAUUGGGUUAAUAGUAACCCGCGUGAAUAGUAACUCGUGAAUAGUACUCCGGCACGAAAAGUACCUCGAAUAUCCGAGUGAAUAAUACCAGAGUUAAUAAUAACUGGGUGAAUAGUAACCCGUGAAUAGUAACUCAUAAAAAAAAUACCAAAGAAAAUGAUAUUCCAUGACGAGUACAAAAGAAAUGAUAUCUCAGACGAGUAUAAUAGAAUAUACGAAACUGCAAAUGGAUUUUCACCCGCCAUGCGGUAAUCCACGUAGACAGAUCAUUUCCACAAUUUAAUAAAGAAUGAAUACAAAGGAUCAUUCACUAUGCAUGCGGUAAUCCACAUAGAUAGAUUAUUCCAACAGAAUAAUAAAGAAUGGAAUAACAAAAGAAUUCACCAGGCAUGCGAUAGACCACACAGAUAGGUUAUUCCCAACAGAAUAAUAAAGAAUGGAACCAGGUCAUGCGUAAUCCGCACAGACAGGAUAUUCCAACAGAAUAAUAAAAAAUAGAAUAACAAUAGAAUUCACCAGGCAUGCGAUAGACCGCACAGACAGGUUAUUCCAACAGAAUAAUAAAGAAUAGAAUAACAGAAGAAUUACACCAUGUAUGUGGUACUUCGUAUAGACAGAUUAUUCCAACAACAUAAUAAAGAAUGGAAUAACAACCCUUAUGAGUAUUGGAAGAAAAUAACUCUCUUCAUGAAUACGAAAGAAUAAUACCCCUUACCUCAAAAGAAGACUGGAUACUGGAAUAGUGAGGUAGCAGACUUCUCUUCUUCUUUCUCUCUAUAAUUUCUCUCUAUAAUAAUUGCUCUAUAACUUUAGUGAAUUUGUUAGAAAUAAUGAAGGAAUGAGCUUCUAUUUAUAGGAAAAUAUAGUUUCGAUAAUUGCAUAUUUUGGGGCUCGAAAUAUUACAGUAUAAUACCUUCCUCUUUUUCUUCAUUUUUAAUUUAGUCCUGCAAGUAUUAUCAAACAUGCACCACCUCUCCUAAUAGUAAAUCAUGUGAAUCAAUAGUAAAGGAUGUGACUCAAUAGUUCUAUACAUGUGAAAAAAUGAAUUACAGUAUAAUACCUCCAUCUAUACCUCCAUUUUUAACUUAGUCAUGCAAGUAUUAUCAAUCUUGCAUCAACUCCCCUAAUAGUAAAUGGAUUUGAAUAAAUAGUACACACAUGUGAAUAAAUAGUUAUAAUCAUGUUAAUCAAUAGCAAUUAAUUGCUCAUUUAUCUGGUUAAUUACCCGAUUGGUCAAUAUAACCUCCAGACAUCAAUUAUUAUCGAAAUAAAUGUCGAUUUUCACUAACACUAAUAAUUCCAACACAAUGGAACUAUCAAUUUUAUCUUUAAUCAACACGAACUUAUUCAUCAUUAAUAUUAUAAUUCACAAUAUUUAACAACCAGGUCGUUCUUAGGAAAGAGGGGACUUUCCAAUAAGGAUUUCUCCUUAUUGGCGCGCAAUUAGGUGACCAAACCUCUCCUUGACAGAACUUCUAGACAUUGUCAAUAUUGUAAAUAAUAAUAUGAAUAACUUUGUCAUCUCAAUUAUUAAUUUAAUAAUAUAACAUAUUAUACAAAUGAUACAGUGACAAUAAUUGAAUCAUUAAUAUGAGAGAUAUUAUGCAACAAUUACUGUAGCAAUAAUUGAGUAUAACUGAGUGACUUUUCACGUAAGCAUCAAUAAUCCAUACCGUGUGCUACUAUGCAACCACGCGUAUUACUGUACUUUUACUAUCGGGUAGUUCAACAGUUUGACGGUAAAACUUUCAUCGUUAUUUUUAUAAAAAGAUAAUUCUGUCAUUUUCUAACUACGACAAUACUUCCGUUGUGGGGUCCACCAAUGAUUGUGCCGUCGUACGGAUAUUCCCCGACAAAAAGAAUAUUCCCCAACCAAUCGAAUAUUAUAUAACAACUUGCAUACUUUGAAAAAUUUAUAAAUAUUACCAACAACUCUAACAUUAUAUCAAAUCCACACCAUAAUAUUCAAAAAAAUAUUUUGAGAAAUUUAAAUCUUUAUUCAUAAAAUUUGGGGUCUCAUAAUCUCCCCUCCUUAUGAAAUUUCGCCCUCAAAAAUUACGUACGUACCUGGUAUGCCGAUGAGGUGAGGAUACCUUGACUUCAUUUCAUAUUCCAACUCUUGAGGUAUAACCUUUGAGUGUUGAAUAUGAUCCUUCUUAUCCAAGAUUUUAACAAGUAUCUCAUUAUACGUUAAAUCCUCUGCUAUAUCGUCUAGUUUUAAUUUAAUAAUGUUGUUCGGGUCGUCCACAUAUUUACGUAACAUUGAUACGUGAAAAACGUUAUGAACACGCAACAUACUUGACGGUAAAACGAGUCUAUAGGCCACAGUUCCUACUCGAUCGAGGAUUUCAAAUGAGCCAAUAAAAUUGAGGGUUGAUAUUUCCUCUUUUCAUUGACUCUUGCGUCUAGAAUAACGCCUUCUUGAACCUUCUUCUUUAUUUUCAUCAGCUCCAGGUGUGUAGUUUGAGCGGCUUUAACUUUAUCGAUUAAAGUCGAUUCUACUCGUAUAUUCGUUAUCUUCACGUGGGUCCCUAGAGUCUUUAACUCUAUCUUCAUCAUUUGUAAGUUAUACGAAAUGGGUUUUUGUGUUAACAACAUCGCACUCGUAAACGCAUACGAUCUUCUACUCAACGCGUCAGCUACCACGUUCGCUCUUCCACGAUGAUAUUGAAUGGUAUAGUCGUAAUCUUCAACAGCUCGAGCCAACGUCCUUGGCGCAUGAUACGUUUAUUUUAGUUGAAGAAAUAUUUGAGGGUUUUAGAAAUGGGUUUUGUAUUGGGGUCAAUACAAAAUUCGAUUUCACGCUUUGGGGGUAGACCAAGAAGUCUUCAAGAAUACGUCAGGAAAUUUAUUACCUAUAGAAAUAUCAUUCAAAACUGUGACUCUCAUCCAAGACUUGGAUAGCACAUGAAAUGAAAGUUUCUACUAACGAAGUUUCAACCGAUAAGUCAAAGUCUAAUCUCUCAGGAGUUAAAUUUAAACGUUGAGCGCAAGAAAGAGAGAUAAAAUAAUGGGUGGAACCGAUAUCUAAUAAGGUAUAGACUUUGCAAGAAUUUAUAAUUAAAUAACCCAUGCUAACUUCGUUCGGGUUACUCGCUUUUUGAGAAGUCACGAAAAACACUCUUCUUAAAACUACUGACUUUGUUUUGUCCGUAUCCGCCUUUGGUGCCACCGUCCCCAGCUGAACUUGACUUUGGUGCAUGACAAAAUCGGGAUAGGUGACCUUCUUUUCCACAAUUAUAACAUGCUUUGGACUGCAUCACGCAGUUUAGACUGAUAUGUCCCUCCCGUCCGCAUUUAAACCAUACAAUUGGUGGUCGUUCUCCUUCCUUGAAAACCGGUGUUGGUGCUGCUGUCUUUCCAUCAUUGUUGAACCUUCUCUUCUUGAAAUUUCCACUCCUAUUAUCUUGGCCAUGGUUACCACCGAAGUGGUUACCAUUCUUGGCAUGAUAAUUUCCCCCACGAUGGUUAUCAUUGUUCCGAUGGCCGUUGCCACCGGUACGAUUAUUAUCGUGUUAUUGGUCGUUGCCUUUUGGUUGUGCUGACUCAUUAUCGCGCUCCAAUAACUAAACCCUAUUCACAACAUCUGAAUAUAAACAAAUUUUGUGAAAAAUGAGGUAUUGACGUAUAUCGGGUUUCAAACCUCUUAGAAACAUCCGCGUCAUUCUCUCCUCAUUCUCAACCAAGUGGGACGUAAACCAAGAAAACUCGGCAAACUUAGCUUCGUACUGCGCCAUGGUCAUGUUGUUUUUCUCAAGCUUGAUGAACUCUACCUCCUUCAUGUGACGAAUACUUUCAGGAAAGUACUUGUCGUUGAAUAUCUCUUGGAACUUCUCCCAAGACAUCUUGAGUGUGGCAGGUUGAGUACGCUUUACAGAUUCCCACCAAUAAUCUGCCUCUUCACGCAAUAUAAAGGUGGCAAAUGGAACCUUUUGCUCCUCGGAGCAUCCCAAGACAUCAAAUAUCUUGGUGAUCUUCAUUAUCCACGUCUCCGCCUUAAGUGAUUCUGGCUUUCCCAAAAACUCCGGCAGUCCCAGCUCCUUGAACUGCUUAGCAGUGACCAGCCGUGGGUUGCCAUUGUUUCCACCCGCAUUUUGAACAAGAGUCUCUCUCGCCUGAUGUUGCAUGAAUUACAUAAAGCCUCUGAACAUCUCAUCGUUCAUCAUCUGAUCGGUGUUGUUAUUUACCUGAGGAUUAUUGUCUUCUUGUUGCACAUUAUCCUGGGUAUUGAUCGUUGGUGACUCAACGGUCUCAUGUGCUUCAUUGCUUAUCUCAAUAUUUUCAGAUGCCAUUCUCAAACACUAUCAAAAAACAAGGGUUAAUUAACAUGUCACAUAUUAUCCCUAUACUCUGACCGACCAAUUAAAUACCAAAUAAACCUAGGUAGGCCAUACUAGCGAAGGAAUUCCCCGUCUCUCCCCUCCUAGUUCUUAUCUCACAUCUCAGCCAGGGAUCAUAUCCCUAAGCUUUGAUACCAACUGUGACGCCCCCAAAAUAGGUAUACAUCACCCAUCUUGAGUCGCCAGAUACAUGGUACAUAAAUCAAAUACAAACUUAAUUAUACAACAGUCGUGUAAAAUACGACAAAACAUAGCUAUGAGUUUAAACAAGAAUAUUGUCAUCUAGACAAUAUCCAUACUCAAUGGUGUCCUCAUUAUAAUUAUUAUCACAUUAUUUCAUAGAAUAGUGAGGACUACUAAAGCCAUUUAUCCUGGACCAUCACUACAUUCCCUGACUCGUCCCAGCUAUAUUCUAAUUUCCUGAAGAGAACAAUGAAAGAAAGGGUGAGCUCAACUAGCCCAGUAAGAAAUAUUAUGACUAAAAUAAUGCAGAAUAAAUUAUCCUUAGCCUUCGACAGUAUAACAACUGAUAGAAUACAAUAGACAACAAGUUUUAGAUCAACAACUGCAGCGAAAAUAAGCAAUCCAUUAGAAGAGUCAAGUAGAGCAUAAAAUCUACUAUCUUCUAUGAUUUAAAAAGNNNNNNNNNNNNNNNNNNNNNNNNNNNNNNNNNNNNNNNNNNNNNNNNNNNNNNNNNNNNNNNNNNNNNNNNNNNNNNNNNNNNNNNNNNNNNNNNNNNNNNNNNNNNNNNNNNNNNNNNNNNNNNNNNNNNNNNNNNNNNNNNNNNNNNNNNNNNNNNNNNNNNNNNNNNNNNNNNNNNNNNNNNNNNNNNNNNNNNNNNNNNNNNNNNNNNNNNNNNNNNNNNNNNNNNNNNNNNNNNNNNNNNNNNNNNNNNNNNNNNNNNNNNNNNNNNNNNNNNNNNNNNNNNNNNNNNNNNNNNNNNNNNNNNNNNNNNNNNNNNNNNNNNNNNNNNNNNNNNNNNNNNNNNNNNNNNNNNNNNNNNNNNNNNNNNNNNNNNNNNNNNNNNNNNNNNNNNNNNNNNNNNNNNNNNNNNNNNNNNNNNNNNNNNNNNNNNNNNNNNNNNNNNNNNNNNNNNNNNNNNNNNNNNNNNNNNNNNNNNNNNNNNNNNNNNNNNNNNNNNNNNNNNNNNNNNNNNNNNNNNNNNNNNNNNNNNNNNNNNNNNNNNNNNNNNNNNNNNNNNNNNNNNNNNNNNNNNNNNNNNNNNNNNNNNNNNNNNNNNNNNNNNNNNNNNNNNNNNNNNNNNNNNNNNNNNNNNNNNNNNNNNNNNNNNNNNNNNNNNNNNNNNNNNNNNNNNNNNNNNNNNNNNNNNNNNNNNNNNNNNNNNNNNNNNNNNNNNNNNNNNNNNNNNNNNNNNNNNNNNNNNNNNNNNNNNNNNNNNNNNNNNNNNNNNNNNNNNNNNNNNNNNNNNNNNNNNNNNNNNNNNNNNNNNNNNNNNNNNNNNNNNNNNNNNNNNNNNNNNNNNNNNNNNNNNNNNNNNNNNNNNNNNNNNNNNNNNNNNNNNNNNNNNNNNNNNNNNNNNNNNNNNNNNNNNNNNNNNNNNNNNNNNNNNNNNNNNNNNNNNNNNNNNNNNNNNNNNNNNNNNNNNNNNNNNNNNNNNNNNNNNNNNNNNNNNNNNNNNNNNNNNNNNNNNNNNNNNNNNNNNNNNNNNNNNNNNNNNNNNNNNNNNNNNNNNNNNNNNNNNNNNNNNNNNNNNNNNNNNNNNNNNNNNNNNNNNNNNNNNNNNNNNNNNNNNNNNNNNNNNNNNNNNNNNNNNNNNNNNNNNNNNNNNNNNNNNNNNNNNNNNNNNNNNNNNNNNNNNNNNNNNNNNNNNNNNNNNNNNNNNNNNNNNNNNNNNNNNNNNNNNNNNNNNNNNNNNNNNNNNNNNNNNNNNNNNNNNNNNNNNNNNNNNNNNNNNNNNNNNNNNNNNNNNNNNNNNNNNNNNNNNNNNNNNNNNNNNNNNNNNNNNNNNNNNNNNNNNNNNNNNNNNNNNNNNNNNNNNNNNNNNNNNNNNNNNNNNNNNNNNNNNNNNNNNNNNNNNNNNNNNNNNNNNNNNNNNNNNNNNNNNNNNNNNNNNNNNNNNNNNNNNNNNNNNNNNNNNNNNNNNNNNNNNNNNNNNNNNNNNNNNNNNNNNNNNNNNNNNNNNNNNNNNNNNNNNNNNNNNNNNNNNNNNNNNNNNNNNNNNNNNNNNNNNNNNNNNNNNNNNNNNNNNNNNNNNNNNNNNNNNNNNNNNNNNNNNNNNNNNNNNNNNNNNNNNNNNNNNNNNNNNNNNNNNNNNNNNNNNNNNNNNNNNNNNNNNNNNNNNNNNNNNNNNNNNNNNNNNNNNNNNNNNNNNNNNNNNNNNNNNNNNNNNNNNNNNNNNNNNNNNNNNNNNNNNNNNNNNNNNNNNNNNNNNNNNNNNNNNNNNNNNNNNNNNNNNNNNNNNNNNNNNNNNNNNNNNNNNNNNNNNNNNNNNNNNNNNNNNNNNNNNNNNNNNNNNNNNNNNNNNNNNNNNNNNNNNNNNNNNNNNNNNNNNNNNNNNNNNNNNNNNNNNNNNNNNNNNNNNNNNNNNNNNNNNNNNNNNNNNNNNNNNNNNNNNNNNNNNNNNNNNNNNNNNNNNNNNNNNNNNNNNNNNNNNNNNNNNNNNNNNNNNNNNNNNNNNNNNNNNNNNNNNNNNNNNNNNNNNNNNNNNNNNNNNNNNNNNNNNNNNNNNNNNNNNNNNNNNNNNNNNNNNNNNNNNNNNNNNNNNNNNNNNNNNNNNNNNNNNNNNNNNNNNNNNNNNNNNNNNNNNNNNNNNNNNNNNNNNNNNNNNNNNNNNNNNNNNNNNNNNNNNNNNNNNNNNNNNNNNNNNNNNNNNNNNNNNNNNNNNNNNNNNNNNNNNNNNNNNNNNNNNNNNNNNNNNNNNNNNNNNNNNNNNNNNNNNNNNNNNNNNNNNNNNNNNNNNNNNNNNNNNNNNNNNNNNNNNNNNNNNNNNNNNNNNNNNNNNNNNNNNNNNNNNNNNNNNNNNNNNNNNNNNNNNNNNNNNNNNNNNNNNNNNNNNNNNNNNNNNNNNNNNNNNNNNNNNNNNNNNNNNNNNNNNNNNNNNNNNNNNNNNNNNNNNNNNNNNNNNNNNNNNNNNNNNNNNNNNNNNNNNNNNNNNNNNNNNNNNNNNNNNNNNNNNNNNNNNNNNNNNNNNNNNNNNNNNNNNNNNNNNNNNNNNNNNNNNNNNNNNNNNNNNNNNNNNNNNNNNNNNNNNNNNNNNNNNNNNNNNNNNNNNNNNNNNNNNNNNNNNNNNNNNNNNNNNNNNNNNNNNNNNNNNNNNNNNNNNNNNNNNNNNNNNNNNNNNNNNNNNNNNNNNNNNNNNNNNNNNNNNNNNNNNNNNNNNNNNNNNNNNNNNNCGCUGCGAAUAUUGAUCUAAAACUUGUUGUCCAUUAUAUUUUAUCUGAUUUAUUUAAGGCUAACGAUAAUUUGUUGUACAUUAUCUUAGUCAUAAUAUUCUUUACUGGGCUAGUUGAGCUCACCCUUUUCCUUUUUGUUCCAUUUUUCUUCUCAGGAGGCGAGAAUAUAGCGGGAACUAGCCAGGGUGUGGAGUGAUGUUUCGAGACAGUUGUUUUAGCAGUCCUCACUAUUUUGUAAAAUAGUGCAUCAAUAAUUGUAAUGAUUACUUAUUUUUGAGUUUGGAUAUAUUCUAGAAGACAAUAUUUGUAUUUAAACUCACAUCAUAUGUGUUGUCGUAUUUUGCAUGACAAUUGUAAUAAUGAAGUUGUAGUUAUUUUCUGUACCAUAUUUUUGGUGACCCAAGAUGGGUGAUGUAUACCUAUUUUGGGGGCGUCACAUCCGUGGUGGGGUCCACCAAUGAUUGUGCCGUCGUACGAAUAUUUCCUGUUAAAACGAAUAUUCCCCGACCAAUCGAAUAUUUUAUAACAACUUUCUUACUUUGCAAAAUUUAUAAAUAUUACCCAUAACUAUAACAUUAUAUCAAACACCAUAAUAUUCAAAAAUAUAUUUCGAGAAAAAUUAAUCUUUAUUCAUAAAAGUUGGGGUCUUACACAAUCUAUAUUAGACUUAAUUAAAGUCCAUAUAUCACACUUAAUUAGACCAAUUAAUUAGCCUAAUUUAUAUAAAUAUUAUUAAUAUUCUUACAAGUUUAUCUAUGUAUUCAUCUAAAUUUAUUUAUUAUUAAUUAAAUUUAUUAAUAAUGUUUAUUUAUAUCUCUUCUUCUUCGAUAAGGGAUCGACAAGCCAUUACUUCUAUAACUACUCAAAGUCAGGGCGGUAGUUAGCUACCAGCAAUAACUUUAUAGGGUAAAAUGCAAAAUUAACCACUGAAGUUUAGCAAUUUUUGGAUAUUGAGUCCCUUUCUUUUGGUCAACAGAAAUUGAGCUCCUUUCUAUUCAAAAAUUUGAAAUUUGAGCCAUCAGGCGCCACGUGAGCGUUGACCUGCUGACAUGAGAAUUUUUCAAUUUUAUCCCAAAAAUAUGUCGCUCCACUAAUUCGAACUCAAAACACCCAGUUUGGAACUUUGAUCAUAUGACCACUGAAGUACCACGAGCUUAACUGUUAAUAUUUCGCAAGGAUUAAUCUUUAUAACAAAACAAUUCAUUUCCCACAAAAAAAUUAAAAGACAAAACAGAUCCUUAAUAUUAGCUAAGUCUCAUUUUGUCCUUUAUAUUGACUGGAACUUAUUGACGGAUCAACCUAAAAAUAGAAUACUGCAAAUCAAGGAUUUAUUGACAUCCCAUAUACAUAACAAGCACAAACACAAGCUCUUUGACAACAGUAAAUUGAUUUGAACUAAAACAAAAAAUAAUACAUUAAUCCCAAAGCUUCUUUAAUUAACCAGUUCUUGAAUAGCUCCCACACUUUGUGAAUCGCAAUUCUCUGAAUCUCUCUCCCUCGACGAAGUCGCCCCCUGUUGAACAAAAGCACGGCCGUUGUAAUUUCGACUGAUGAUGGAUUCUUCCGAUAUAGGCCUUUUCAGACCUAGCCCUCUUGAUCUAUCAAAUGAUCUACGAGAGCUCUCCAUUUACAUAGUAAAAAUUCGAUCAACCAAAAAACAUAAAUCAAAGCCCUAAUUUAAUCCCUACUUUAUUACAUAGUAAAAAAUUGAAAAAGAAAAAACUAGAUUUAUGGUAAUUAAAACUAACAAGGAUUUCAUACGAGACUUACAAAUCAGAUACCCUAAUCAUUGCCCUAAUUAUGUAUACACAAAAUCAAGAUUGAUACAAAAGUUCGAUCUUUGAAGACAAAUAUUGUGAAUUGAGGAGAGAGAUGAGAUAUGAUUGACAGAACUCCGAUAUUAGUCUUCAAAUCGAGCUGUCAGUUACUUUUUGACUCUGGUUUCAAAUUAAUUAAGUCUCAUUUCGUAAUCUUUCUCAUUUCGUAAUCUAAAUGAGACUUAGUUAAGUAGAGGUUUAGAAAAAGAGAAAGAUAAAGAGGGAAAUGAAACUUAGCUACUCUGAAGGAUCUGUUUUGUCUUUUAAUUUUUUUGGGAGAAAUGAAUUGUUUCGUUAUAAAGAUUAAUCCUUAUGAAAUAAUAAAAGUUAGGCCUGUAGUGCUUGGGUGGUCAUAUGAUCAAAGUUUGAAAUUGGGUAUUUUGAGUUCGAAUCAGUGAAGCGCUCACGUGGCGCCUGGGGGCUCAAAUUCCAAAUUUUUGAAUAGAAAGUGGCUUAAUUUACAUUAACCAAAAGAAAUGGACUUAAUACCCAAAAAUUUCUAAAGUUCAGUGGUCAAUUUUAUAUUUUACCCUAACUUUAUCAUUAUAGCAAACUAUUUCAUGUUGCUCGGAGGAAAAAAAAAAUAUUAGAAGGAAAAAGGUUUGGCCUAUUAGUACUCGGUAAGUUCUAAACAAACCAAACACAAUUAAUAAUUUUAUUUAUUUACUAAUAAUAGUUUAUAUAACUUAUACGUUAUUAAGGGCUCAAAUUUUAUGGGAGUAGUUAACAUAAAAUUAAUUUUGAUUAAUUGACUAAUAUAGUAUCAACACACAAAUUGAAAAAUAAUCUCUCCUUACGUGUCAACAUUAUAUUAAUUAAUUUAUCAUAAAAAUUUUCAUAAUAAUCAGAUCCAAAUUUUAUAUAUCAAAAAUAGUAUGUCGCGUUGGACCUCUAAAUACUACUACUUUACCCACAUUAAAAGUUAAUAAUCGAAAAAAUCUCUCUCUAUUGUCGUUUUAUUUAUCAUUAUCCAAACACUACUGCUCUACGCACAUUAAACGGUGCUGAGAAGAAACGUUGUCAUUGUCCUUUUUCUGCAUGUGUGAUUGAAGGUAAUUUGGGUCUUAUCAUUAUGUUAGAACUUAUGUUAUUAGCUGCUCAUGUUUAACUUGAGUUUUUUUUUUUUGGUAUUUUGCAAGUCUUGUGGUACUGUCCAAAGAGUAUGGAUUUUUUCCACUUUUAUAAUCAUGUUUUGGGUAUUAAUGAAUUUCAUUUUAUUGAUAAAAAAGAAAAAUAAAAUUUUUCUCUCAAAUUAGUCACAUGCGGAUCACAUUAUUGAAUUACAGAUUUAAACAUAAAUUUAUAAGCAAUAACUCUCUUGACUUUUUAAAAAUAUAUUUAAGUCAUUUUUUUUGUCCAUGUUAGUCUACGAAAAACUACUUAAUAGCUUUAAAAUUAAUAUAAAAAAAAAUUACAAUUAACUCCUACUUCUAUACCACGAAGACAAAGGCAACCAAGUGGAAUAGGCGGGUAAUUUAAUUAACCUAAUUGGCUUUAUAUGUUAAAGCUAAUUAGGUUCCACAAAAACAAUAUUGGAGUAGCAGCUAAUAGUGUGACAGGUGACCAUACAAUGGAUAUUUUUCAAUACGUUUCACUUUCAUGACAGAAAACUUUACGGAUUAAUUAACACACAAAAUAUAAAUAAAAAUAUUUUAUCAGUUUUUUCUUAUUAUAAUUAAAAAAGAACUGGAGACUAUAAAAGGGUAUGCAUGGAAGUCUAGAGAUCACAGAAAACACACACUUCAUUUCUUAAGAAAAAAGUUGUUGAAGUUUGAAGAGAUCAUGAGGGCAAUAUAUAUUAUCAGCAUCAUUAUAGUGAGCUUGAGCAUUUUCUCUUGUGGUGGGAAUGCUCGACUUCUUCCUGCUAAUAGAGAUUAUCCAUGGGCAAUGUUUGCCCUAAGGCUUCAAUGGCCAGCUGGAUUUUACGAGGUCAACAAUGACUGUGAUACAAAGUCUCUCCUCAACACAUUUACCAUUCACGGCCUUUAUCCCUAUAACGCGAAGGGGAUCCCAGUGUUAUAUUGUGACGGAACUGCCUUUGAUGUUAACUCUGUGAGUUCUCUCAGUCUGCAUUUAAUUUACUUCUUAAAAUCCUUGCUCUAUUGUCUAUUAAAUAUGUUUUUUUGUGGUAACAUUUAUAUAUAUCUUGAAGAGUUGGAUAUGUUUGUUUGAUAAAAAAAAUGAAAUUGUACAUGCAAUAUAUAUCCAUACAUACUCACAUAUGUUAAACUAAUUUCUCUCCUCCUUUAUUUUGAAAAUUAACAGGUAUCGGACUUUCAAGCAGAAAUGCAUCUUGCAUGGCCGAGUCAUGAAACUAAUACUGAGGACAAACAAUUCUGGGAACACGAGUGGAAUAAACAUGGAAGGUGCUCAGAAGCUUUGUUGAAGCAGACUGAUUAUUUUAGAACGGCGCUUGCUUUUAGAAAAGCAUUUGAUAUAAUUGGGCUACUAAACCAGGAAGGUAAACAUACCCAUUGAUAUAUAAUUAAAUAGUCUUUAAUUUGGUUCAUUAAUUGCUUCCUAAGGGAACUACGUACUUAAUUUAGAUUUUGUGGAUGAUUAAUUGAUAAUGUGAGUUUGAUGAGAUUACUAUUCAAAAAUGUGUAGGGAUUUACCCGAAUAACGACCUUUAUCGUCCUAAAAUGAUAAAAGAAGCAAUCAAAAAGCACUUGAAUGCUGUGCCAGAAAUCGAUUUCACCAAAAACGAAAACUCAGAAUAUGUGCUUACGGAUAUUAAUCUAUGUGUGAACCAACAAGCAACAAGGUUCGUAGAUUGCCCUACCGAUGACGCUACUGAUGACUACCGCCUCAAAUUCGUAAGACUACCUUCUAAAAUGAAAAUUGCGGAUCCGAGGACCAAUUCUAUAAUAUAGCACAAAUGGUACGGCUACAAAAUGGACUACUAUCUUGUUUAAUUAAUGCUUUUGGGAGUAUAUAUUAUCUAUGUAAAAUAGUUAUGAGUGCUAGGGUUGGCUAAUUAGUACUAUGAGGCCAACCUUUAGUAUCUCUUGAAUAAUGUCCAUGUAGCAAAAGUUUAUAGCACUCUGGCCUUGGUGUGUAUGGAUAAUUAUAAUAAAUGACUACUUUUAUCUGCAAAAAAAAAUAAAAUCCAAGUAUUUUCUUUUGUUUUUAUUUUUGAUAAGAAUUUAAUUUUAUGUAGUUUGAUGGCAUAGUUUAUCUAGGAAGCUGAUAUUUUCACAUGUUAAAAUGAUAUUUUCAAACGAGUCUCUCACAAUAUGGAUGUGGGACUUGCUCACUAUUCAUGUGAGAGGGAUUAUGUGAAAAUAUCAAAUUUUUAUGUGAAAAUAUUAGCUCCCUUUAUCUAUUAUAAUGGUGAAACAUGACUUUUUGAUAUUUUUCACAUGAAAAUCGUCGCUAUAGAUCCUUUAGUAGUGGUUUUUACUGUCGCUAUACAUCUCUAUAGCUACAUUUUUUAUAUAAAAAUAUCAAAAAAAUAUGUGGAAAUAUCAAGCAUGCAUGCAUCGUACCAGAAAACAUUUAAAGGGACACUUCAAAGGGAUUUCAGACAAAAAAUAAAACCAAAAAUAAAUGAUUUCAUCACAAUUUUGUUUUCAAGUAUUGUCGCAAAUCAGUGGUCACUAAAAAAAAAAAGGAAAAUAUAUUUGUCGCAAUCUAUAAAACAUGACUGAAAACAGGGGCGAAGCCACAGUUCAGGAUGUGUGGUCAAUUGAUUUCAUUGAAAAAUAUAUAUUUUAUAAUAUAUGAUAAAUUUAAAGAAUAUUUAAGUGUAAUAAAUAAAUUGACUUCAUUGAAAUUUUAUAACCUUUUUAAUAUACGGUGUUAAAUUGAAUUUUUUAUAACUUUCUCAAUUCUAUAUUAUUUCUACUCCUUGAUGUAUGCUUAUUUCUCUAAUAUUUUUAAAAUAAAUAAUAAUUUAAUUUAUAUUAUUUUUAUAUCAUAAGAAAUUUAAAUAUUUAUUAACAAAUUUAUGAUUAAAAAACGUAUUAGGGGUCAAUAAGGAGUUUUUUUGUGUGUGUGUGUGUGUGUGUGUGUAUAUAUAUAUACAUGUUGUUUCAUUUUAUGUCUUUAGGUUUAGUUUAUCAGGAUACUAGGUAGAUUAUUUCAUUUGGGUCUCUCUUGAGCCUUAAUUUUAGGUUGCCCUCUUUUAUAAAGAGGAUGAUUCGAUUUCAACUGCUGACAUCUGUACCAGUUGGUUCAUGGACAAGUUUCUUUUGAUAAGUUAGUAUCAUGGACAAAUAUAAAUAAUAAUUAACUGUUACAAUGAAAAUUAAACUUCAAUUAAGUCUAGGCCAUUCAUACAUUGAAAAAAGCUUCUUGAAUAGGUUAGAGAGUUUGUGAAAUAUUUUUUUAGUUUGCUUAACCCUUUGAAAAGCGGUUGUGGUAAGAACAAAUAUUGAUAAGUUAUUGAAACACCGCUUUUCAAAGGGUUAAGCAAACUAAAAAAAUAUUUCACAAACUCUCUAACCUAUUCAAGAAGCUUUUUUCAAUGUAUGAAUGGCCUAGACUUAAUUGAAGUUUAAUUUUCAUUAUAACAGUUAAUCAUUAUUUAUACUUGUCCAUGAUACUAACUUAUCAAAAGAAACUUGUCCAUAAACCAACUGGUACAGAUGUCAGCAGUUGAAACCGAAUCAUCCCCUUUAUAAAAGAGGGCAACCUAAAAUUAAGGCUCAAGAGAGACCCAAAUGAAAUAAUCUACCUAGUAUCCUGGUAAACUAAACCUAAAGACAUAAAAUGCAGUAACAUAUGUACAUGAAGGACAUAUUGAAACACUGCUUUUUUUUUCUUUUUUGAUAAGUUAUUAAAACACCGCUUUUCAAAGGGUAAGCAAACUUGAUACAGGAAGAGAAGUAACCCUUUGAGCAGCAGGAACCCAUCUGGGUGGAGGCGAAUCCAACAAUCAACUCAGAAUUACAAAAUCCUAUACAAUAAGAUUACACACAAACUCUAAAUUUCAUUCAUUUAGUUAGAAAAUUAGAAAAUACCUUGGGAGACGACGAACUUGCUUUCGAAUUCGUCCGGCGAACUUGCUUUCGAAUUCGUCCGACGAGAUGCUUGGAUUUGCGAUUGAGAAUGAGCCAGAUUUCGUCUGGCGAGAUGCUUGGAUUCGCGAUUGAGAAUGAGCAAGAUGGUCUCUGUCCUUUUUUUGACCCGAAAAGGAUCCGCGGCUAUUUUUUCCCAAAAGGUCUGUGUCUUUUCCUCGCCGUUGGAUGUAUCUCACGAUUAGUAUGAAAAGUUCGUAUUUUUGGCAACAUCCGGGCGCCCGGACCAGAUCGUUUCUGUAUAUGUAUGUAUGUAUAUAUAUAUAUAUAUAUAUAUAUAUAUAUAUAUAUAUAUAUGCGUUGUGAGAUCUGUGGUAUUGUGUUGCAUGGGGUAAUAUAAACUAUGCAAUAAGUGAUUUCUGUGUUUAAUAAAUAUAUUAUUAUAUAUUUGUUAUUUAUUGAAGAGGCAAGUUAUUUGAAGUAAAGAAGAUGGAUAAAAAUUUAUCGAUAUUAAAUAAUUUAUGUGAAAUUAUUUUAUCGUAGUAAGUUGGUGACAUUAAAUAUAUUUGAUAAUCACCAAUUUCUUUAGUAUAUGUAUGAGUAAGUAUCACGUCUAAGGCAGUGCAACCGUACCCUUUAAUGGUGGUUGUGUAGGAGCUGGGCUAACUGAUUCCUUCAGAGAGCGGAGAUAUAUACAAAUUAGUAACCGAUCUAACUUACUGUGAAAACAGUGUAGACGAGAAGGAAAGUAAUUUGUUGGUUAUUUGUGGGAAACCACUCAGUGUACUAUAUUGAAUACUAUUAAAGACUCGAUGUGUGUUAGGUUUAGACUUGUAUAUAUAUACGUUAUUGACGAGAGAAGAAAAUCGAUAUAUCUUUAGAUAAAUAUUGGUUAGAGAUUUAUUGAUUAAUAUUGAGAUAUGAUUAAAUGUAUAGAUUAAAGAAAUUGUGUUGAGACAAUUUAUAGAAAGGAAAGAGAAAUAAUUAUAGUAUAUUUCUAAUAAAGGAUAUUAAAAUAAAUUCUAGCAUUUGAUUAUUUUAAUAAUAAUGGGGAAUAUUAUUUUGAAAUUACCUUAUAGGUAAUGUGUGUGAUUAAGUAAUAUGGUAAAUAUAUUAAAACAUAUUUGCUAUAUAAGUUGAUGGAAACAAUUUAUCAUAAUAGGAAAUAAACUUAUUUUCUAUAUAUAGUGUGUACGUGUGUCGUGCAUGUAAAUAUUUUAAUAAUACAUAGAUAUUAUAUUAACAAUAAUAUCUUGAGAAAAUGAGUAAAUCGUUUUAUUAUGAUUAGUUCCUAUAUUUAGAGAAAACAUGAUAAAAUCAUCGUAUGUUAUGUUAUGGCGAAAUACAUAAUUUUGAUUGUAGUAAUGUAUUUCCAAGAAGGUUAAAGUUAAAAGAAAACUAAGUUAUUCUAAUAACUUGAGUUAUUAUAUUACCGCGAAUGUUAUAAAGAAUAUUUAAAUAUCUUCAUUCACGAUAUAUUUAUAUAUGUGAAUCUUGUGAUAUAAUAGUUCGAUGUAAAUUGAACAUAUUAUAAAUAGUAAGGUUCGUGGUAAAUGAAUAAGUAAUGAGAAUGAGGAUAAGCUUAAUGUAAGCUUGUGAGAUAUGCCUAGUGUGGUAAAGUGAUGGAAUAAACAUUCAUUAAAUAAUUUAAUGAAUGAAUAAUUGAAGGAAUUAAAUUGUAUGUGCAAUGAUUAUAUAUUAUAUAGUAACUACAUCUAUAUGAUAUGAAAUGAAGUGUGACACUUCAAUGGUAACUAUAUAAUAUAUGAAGUAUUUGAAUACAUAUGUAUAAAGACUAGUAUGCUAGCAUUAUGUACAAGUGAGAUAAUAAAUGUAAUAUGGUACAAUAGACCACUUCCAUGACCAUAUUAUAAGAUGUAAUGUUAAGAAUAAUAUUAUUUUGUGAGAUUAUUUUAUUAUAAGCUUGUGGACUAUUAAUUACUAAGUUCACAUAAUUAUGUCUUGUGUGGCAUAACUAGUGAAGUUAAAUCAAAGGGAGAAUUAAUGGAAAGUAUUAAAAGAAAAUAAAUGGUGAGUUAAUAAAUAAUUGAUAUUAAUUAUCAUUAUGAUAAUUGAGGGUAUUUGAGGUAAUAAAGUUUAUGGAAAAUGAUGGAUUGAGAAUAUCCAACUAUUUUAUAUUUAGCCCAAUAAAAAUAUUAAUUGAAAUAAACCAAUGUACAUAGAUUAUAUAAAUUCUAUGUGUAAUGUAUAAGUGAGUGUAUAUGUAUGAUCAUUUUUGGACAAAUAUCAAAUAAACCUAAGUAUGCUAAUAGUAAUACAAAAUGUUGAGUUUUAAGGGUAGUGUCCCAAAUUGUGUGUCAUUUCUCCAUACACGUGAAAUGCAAAAAGGAUAGCUAGCUAGCUUGCUUCUUCUUCUCCAAAAUCCAUAGCUUCCAAAUGAUGAAAAGGGGAGUGAGUUGAUUUGAUUUUCCACCAACUUCUCAUGAACCAUUAGUUUCUUCUUCAUUCCAUUGAGCAAAGUUCCAAUGUUGGUCAAAAAGUUUUCCUAUAAAUGAAGCAAGUUUCAUUCUUGUACUUCUUGUUGAUCACUCUGUGAAGUUCAAAAAUUUGUGUGUGUGAGUGUUGUUGAGUUGGAGAGGAAACUUGAGAUUGAAAGCAAAGAGUUUACUUCACAACUUUAGAAGGUAAUAUCCCUCUAUAUGUUAUUGAAUUCAAGUUUUGCAAAGUUCUUAAAAAAGUACUAAAAUACUUGUUUUGAGUUGAAAAGUUUAUGGUUGAAGCAUGAUAAAGUGUGUCAAUUGAUGCUAGACACUGAUAAUAUAGUCAUAUGCGAAAACAGCGAGAGUUAAACGGACCAAUUUGGUUUAGAAACGAAUUCGUAGUGAAUGAAUUCACUAAACUUUUCAAAACAUGAAAAUUAGUAUGAACAUGAGUUUUGGAUUAAGAAUUAGGUUAGUUAGGGUUUCUGUAAAUUGUUAUAAUUCUAGUAUGUUGUAGUUCUAUGAAUUACGAAUCCAUAGAAUCAAAAACGGACUAAUUUGGACAUGUAUAACUCAAAUUAUGAAGGUUAGAAAGAGGUUUGGCAUGAUAUCUCGUAGCAGGGGAAAUGAAAAUUUUCAAUUUCAACAGCUAUGCCCGCCCCGGCGGGGGUCUUGCUGUGAAAAAGGCCCGCCCCGGCGGAAGAGGUGGGGGGGGNNNNNNNNNNNNNNNNNNNNNNNNNNNNNNNNNNNNNNNNNNNNNNNNNNNNNNNNNNNNNNNNNNNNNNNNNNNNNNNNNNNNNNNNNNNNNNNNNNNNNNNNNNNNNNNNNNNNNNNNNNNNNNNNNNNNNNNNNNNNNNNNNNNNNNNNNNNNNNNNNNNNNNNNNNNNNNNNNNNNNNNNNNNNNNNNNNNNNNNNNNNNNNNNNNNNNNNNNNNNNNNNNNNNNNNNNNNNNNNNNNNNNNNNNNNNNNNNNNNNNNNNNNNNNNNNNNNNNNNNNNNNNNNNNNNNNNNNNNNNNNNNNNNNNNNNNNNNNNNNNNNNNNNNNNNNNNNNNNNNNNNNNNNNNNNNNNNNNNNNNNNNNNNNNNNNNNNNNNNNNNNNNNNNNNNNNNNNNNNNNNNNNNNNNNNNNNNNNNNNNNNNNNNNNNNNNNNNNNNNNNNNGUGUCCUGCAAUGACUUAUUUUAUCUGUUUUGGUAAAACGGAUAUAACGUUUUCAUACAAACUCCGAUUGAGGAGAUUCAAGAUGAUCCGGAACGAGAAUGAAUAGACCCUCAACUUUUGUUCUUUACAUUUUUCAUUUUGAGGUUGUUAGAAUGGGUCAAAACAGUCAUCUUUGUGACUGUUACGUAUAUGUUAUUCUAAGUUAUUAAACAUAAAUAUGUAUGAUAAUAGACAUGUCAUAUAGCUAAGAUUUCUUUACUCAUAAUGAAAUGCGUUAACAUGAUUUUCUAAAAAACACUUAAAAGUUUUUGAGAAACGAAAGUUGAUGAAAUUGGUGUCCAUUGAGUUCUGAGCUUGGACCCUAUGUACGCAUAUCAAUGGACAUGAAAUUUAGUUUUAAAGUUACCUUGCAUAUACUAGAUUGAUAUAGCUUGGUUUAAAGUGUUUUGAAAGAAAAACUUGAAGUUUUGAAAAUGAAACUUGACGAACUUUGUGUCUUUUAAGCUUCGACUUUGGGAACAUGUGAUUGUGGCCUAGUUAUGCGUGUGGAUGGACAAGGAAUGUAAUUUCAAGAUAUAUUGCACAUAAAAGGUUGUCAAGCUCGGUUUAGUAUGUGUUUUAAAUUUUUUUUAAAAGUUUUAGAAACUAACUUUGAUGAGCAUUGUAUUACUUGCAUUAUGACCUUAUAAGCAAGCAUGAUAGAGUUGUCUAUGACUUUGAACAUGAAUGAUAUGUGCACUCAACUAGUCAAGCAUGACCUAAGUUAUUUAAGCAUGUUUUAAAAGUAUGAACUAUGCUAUGUCUAUGUAAAUGAGAUAGAUACAUGUGAUCAUGCUAUUAGAGGCUUAUUAGUACCAAUAUAUAGUUUAAAAGCUUAUAACAUUGAAUCUUGUUAAAGAAAGUUGUUAAGCCUUAUUGAUUAAAAUAAAUCAUUAUGGAGCUAAGUAGUUUGAAUAUGAACUUGAAAAUAGAUCACAACCUAUUUAAUGUCAAGUACGGAUGGUUAAGAUAUACUUAUACAUGCCUAGCUAUUCAAAGAUUAGGAAGAGAAAGUGAAAUGAAGGUUUUACAAACCUAGUUAGGAAACGAUAUAAUAUUUAUUAUUAUAUUAAGAGCAUAUGAAAUGUAUGACUGAUGGAUAUGAAUCCAUGAUUAUAUAACUAUGUAGGAAUACACGCAGUGCAGAUAAGCUUUAAGCAGUUAAGUCAUAGUUGAUAAACUAUGAAUCAGGGUCUUUCAGUUCUUAUUUGAUAUAUGAAUUUGAUAAUUGUUAGUUGAGCUAUAUUAUGCUAUGAGAAUGUUGAUGUAUAUAUAUGAAAUGCAUAUGAGAUAUGUAUGAAAUUGAAAGUUGAUCUUUGAUGAUAUGCUUGUGAAGUAAAUGUCUAUGCCUGUUAUGUGAGAAGUAACAUGUGUAGUAAAUAUUAAUUGAUUAUGAAUGCAUGAACUGAGUAUGUUAUUAUAUGCUAUGUGCUGCAUGAAAACUGUUAGAAUUGCUGGGUUGUCGAGCUCACCCUUGCAAAUAACCACUUUUACAGGUUAAGGACUCACGAUAAAGAUUACGUGCUACUUGAUACAUAAAGUUCAAUAGCAUCAAAGGAGAUUUAUUUAUUUAUUUAAAUAUAUGACCUUGAACCAUGUUUAGGUUCUAGGAGAUGUACAUAAUAGUAGUUUACGAUAAGUAAUACAUGUUAAGUUGUACUAUGUGAUACAUAGAGGAAUUCGAAUCGAGAUGUAAAGAUUUUUACAGUAAUUCGAAUAGAAUGAAUCAUAACAUAAUUUGAUUCAAGGAGAUCUAAUUGAUUCAAGUUAAGACAUCAAUAAAAGAUUUUUUUUAAGAGAUUGAAAAAGUUUAAAUUAUUCUGCAUAUUUUUAUAACAUCGAAUAUGAUAUAAGACAAGAAUGGUAAAUGACCAAGAUUAGAAACUUAUAAAAGUUUGGGGUCAUUACACAGAUCCUGGCAAUAGAAAGAAUUUAUUUUCUAAAUUGUAAUAAGCUAAGUUAUAUUCAUUAAGUUAUGAAUAAAAGAUAUAAAUAGUUUGACGAUAGUAGUAUCAUGGCGGACUGGAUCCGAGGUUCGAAGGGACCCGGAUUUGGGGGCGUCACAAUCACUAUUCAAAUACAUACAUAUAUCACCUGCUUAAUAUUGUAUACAUUCUUCAUUUAUUCCACACGUGUCUCAUAAAAAAUAAUAGAAACAUCCAUUCAUUCUUCUAUAGGCCUUAACCUCACAUAUUCAACAUUUGCCUAUAAUAUAAAUUAGGAUUACUUGAGAUUUCACGUAUAUGAAAUUACAUAUUUUCACAUCUCGACUCUUUACACAAUUUAAUACUUCAUAAUAUCAUAACGUAUCUUAUAUUAUUACAAAAAAUUAAUACAACAUCCUAAUCUAUUACAUCAACAUUAUUCAUUCUUUCUAACAACCGUUUCUUUCUCUUUUAUCUAUAUCUUUUGGACCCUUUUGAUCCUUCUGCCUUUUCUAAAAAUUUGAAAUAAAAUGCAAGAGCGAACAACAGAUUUGCUUAACAAGUUUAAAAAUAGUUUAGAAUAAUAAGCACAAGUAUAAAUCCCAGUCACUGAAUUAACAUUACAGAUAAUAAUCUUAAAAAUUCUGAAACACUCAGCAUCAACAACGUAGCAUAACAAAAUGUCACUACAGGAAAAAGACUUAUCUAUAACCACCUAUUAGUGACUGUACUUGGUCGCAGAUGCAUAUCAGCGAUUGAAUGCGGUCGCUGAUAAUAGUCACAUAUAAUCUGGCCGUUGUGUGGAUCCCAACGACCACUAUUAGUGACCGAUAUAUCAGCGACCGCCCUAUAGCGACCGAUGUCGUCGCUAACCUGAGUCACUGUGAGUCAGGUCUCAGGGGUGACGUGGCCCAAUUUUUGCGACCAACAUUAUCGAUCGACGUGGUCACUAAAAACCUCAAGUCAUUUUUUAGCGGUCGCUGAUACGUAUUAGUGACCGCCUGCGGUUGUUGAUACUUAAAUUUUUUUUUUUAAAAAAAGAUUGUUUUGGGGAUUUAAUUCCCUACACAUAUUAGUGUCUAUUUGUACCUGCUUUAUAUCUUAAAACACAGCUGUAUCAAUAAAUAAACCAACAUCCAUACAAAUACAUCGAUCCAUAUAUAUACACAUCCACACAUGUAUAAACAUAUAUAAACAAAUACCAUCCGACUAAAUUUUUUAUACAAAUAAAAUGUCAUAACAUACAAUAUAAACUCCGUACAUUCAUUCGGUAAAAAAAGAAUAAUACAAAUGUUCACAUAAAAGAGAAGAGAACAAUACAAAUGUCUGCAUGCAUCAAAUAUCGUCCAAAUGAAGUUGUAACAAAAUAUGUUAAAUAUAAAGUAUACAUGUUGAUACUGGCGUGACUUAUGCAAAGCAAAAAAUGACCAUUUAUGAUGUAUUACAAUAACAAAAAGCUAAACAUAAAUAAAAAACUAAACAUGUAUUAUUGAAUGUAAAACUAAACUAAGCAUCAAAGCUAAACAUAAAGGUAAACAAUGACAAGAUUACCUCGACAUCAUUAGCAUGUUGUUAUGAUGUUUUCACCACUACAUAAGCUAACUCUUUAGGACUCAGAGAUUGUAAAUAUCCGCCAAUUAUAAAGUCGGUCGUCGUUAAUAAAGCUUGUCCCCAAUACUCCUUGAGAAGUGUAAUCUAGUUAUGGCUCACCUCUCCAUGAAAUCAAGAAACAUCCUCGGUUUGAAAGCCCUAUGCAUUUCAGUUGUUACUCCUGUUUUUGCAAAAUCAACUGCCAUAGAGUGAAGGGUUGCCAACUGAAGAUAUUUUUUACUCAUAACUUUAUUUGACUCAAGGUCUGUAUGUACCAAAUGUGCAAUAGAGAUUGUACCUAAGGUAUCAUUAAUCAGAUAAUUAAUUAACAGAGAACUUUUGAAUUUCCUGCAAAAUUAGACUUAUUGGAAAAUCUCAGACUAUUAUGAACAUAAAUAAAAUAAAAUUUAGCUUUAAACUACCUCUAAUGUCAUAUCAUGAUCCAUCAAGCGUGGUCUUCGUCUAGUAUAGUUCAUGGGGGGGGGGGUACAGUUCAACGUGGGAUGAGAUUAUCAUCCCAACUUAUGAAAUUGAGCUCAACCAUAUAGACCUAGCUCUUCCAUUCCCAAAUCAACUGCUACAGUUCAUUGUAAUUGAACUAAUUAAGGAAGUAACAGUUCAAUAGAUAGAGAGGAAAAGCGGGCCAGGACUGGAAACUGGAAGGGAGUUAAUGAGAAUACAAAGUGUCACCAUUCUUAGAUGUUUCUUUUGCAUUUUUUGUGUAUAGACAAAUAUAUAAAAAUAAAUGUGGCUAUUUUUCAAUACACUCAUUAUUUCUUGAUGUAAAUCAUAUAUUCUCGAUGCAGAAGAUCAACUAGACACUUUCUAUGACGCCCCUAAAAUUAGUCCACACAACCCAUUUUGGGUCGCCAAAUACACACUACAGAAUCUAAAUACAAAUCUUUCAAUUUAUAACUAUUAAAAUGUUGUGUAAAAUACAACAACACAUAAACUGGGAGUUUCAAUAAAAAUAACAGUACUCACACUCCAAACUAAUGAUACUUUACAUAAGGGUAAAAUGCAAAGCAAAUCUGACGUCAGCAUUUUUUAUUUUAUUUUACAUAGUGGACAGGCUGACAUGGCAAAUAUUGAAUUUACCUAGCAAAAAUUAUGUUUGCUGCCAAGAUUUGAACUUGAGACCUCUAGCUUAAAACUUGAACCCAAUAACCAACUAAGCAAACAAGACUAGUUGUUAUAAUUUUGCAAGGAUUAAUAUUUAUAACUGAACAAAUUAUUUUCCCCAAUAAUAACAACAACAACAACAACAACAACAACAACAACAAUAAUAAUAAUAAUAAUAACAAUAAUAAUAAUAAUAAUAAUAAUAACAAUAAUAAUAAUAAUAAUAAUAAUAACAAUAAUAAUAAUAAUAAUAAUAACAAUAAUAAUAAUAAUAAUAACAACAAUGAUAAUAAUGAUGAUGAUAAUAAUAAUAAUAAUGAUAAUGAUAAUAACAAUAAUAAUAAUAAUAAUAAUAACAACAACAACAACAACAACAACAACAACAACAACAACAAUAAUAAUAAUAAUAAUAAUAAUAAUAAUAAUAAUAAUAAAAGACGUUAUUAAAGACAUCAAAGACUCCUACAAAGACAUCGGAUUAUUAUUCAAAUUAUAAUCCAUCAAAGACAUCAGGAAUAGUGGGGAUGUUUAUUCAAAUUUUAUUUUUAUUUUAUUAUUAUUAUUAUUAUUAUUAUUAUUUUGAAAAACUCCUACAAGAUCUGUUAGUUAUAAUCAGUCCAGAACAGAUCCAAAAUUCAGCCAAAAAUCCCACAACAUUUAUAUGAUUCAAAAUCCCACAACAUUUAUAUAAUCCAAGGACAGAGUAACAGUUUUAUAGAUCUAGAUCUAUAUCAACUAAACCCAUAACAGACUAAAUUAACACUCAAAAUAAGAUCUAGGCCUCCGUCGACUACUCCGUUACCAAAAGAAUCGCCGGCGAAACGACGUCCCACAAGAUCCGCCUCUUUCAUCUUUCAUCUUCCUCUCCAAUCCCAAUUAAAUUGAAAAUACAAAACAUUAAUUAAAUUAAAAGGAAAAAAAUAGCCUUCAUCAGAAUCCACCUCUUUCAUCUUCCUGGAUGGUGUUUUCAGUUCAGUCUUGUCCAUCACCUGUGGAAAGAAAAAAUAAUAAAGAGAAGAGAAAGGCACUAGUGGUCCGGUUAAGAACACGUGAUUAAUGACUGCUACAACAUCUCUGACGAACUUCACAAGAUUUUCUCCUAUAUGUUCACCUGUAAAUGAGAAACUCUACUUAUGUUUCGAUUGUCAUAAUAUUUUGAAAUUGUACAAGUAAUUGAUGAAUUCUCGGUCGAAUUCGACUUGGGGUUUUGUUCAACCAUUUUCAAACUUACUAAAUCUCCCCUUUUAUUUUAUUAUAAUUGUUUGUAAGCUUUUAUAAUUGUUUGUAAACUUUUAUAAUUUGUUUUAUAAUUUCUGGAAAUGUCUAAUAUUUUGAAUAUGGGAUAUUUUUAAGUUUUAAUUUUAAGCUUAUUUUUAAAUAUAUUCUUUUUAAAUUUGUAAAUUAGUUUUAAUUUAAAAUUUUUAAUUUUAAUCUAUAAAUUUGCUAAUGUUAAUUGUUUAAUUUUUUAAUUAAUGUUGAUUGUUUAAUUUGUUAUCCUUUUAAUAUUAUGUCGAGGGAAAUGAACUGAUUUAGUAUAAAUCUUAAUUCUUUUGUUAAAAUAAUUGAAAGUUUUAUGUAGCUCAGGUGGUUUAAUGGUCAAAGUUUCAAAAUUGAGAUUUUGGGUUCGAUUCUUGGGGAACUAAGUUUUUUAACAAUUAAUUGAAAAAUGCAUAGAUAAGUAGCUCCACAUGACAAAAAUAUCCACGUCAUCGGUGCCACGUGUGCCACGUAGGCAGGUCAACGCACCUGGGGGCUCAAUAUCCAAAUUUUCAAACAGAAAAAGGGCUCAAUUUGCGUUGACAAAAAAAAAAGGGCUCAAUACCCAAAAACACCUAAAGUUCAGUGAUCACAUUUGCAUUUACAUAAAGGUACAAUCAAUAUAACGAUCGAGAAAUUUGAAAUUUAAUUUUAAUAUUUAUGGAAUUAAAUAAAUAUUUAAAAUUAUUGAGGAAAAUAAAUAUUUGAUGAAUUGUCAUAAAUUAAUUUAGUAGCUAAAUUAAUUAAUGUUAAUUGAAUCGAGUAAUGAUAAUUUUAUUUGUUGGAUUUAAUUUAAGGAGAUAAUUAAAUUAAAUCAAUUGCUUAAUAUUUAAGAAAUUAGUUAAAUUAAAUGAAUUGUUUAAUUUAAAGGAAAUAAAUAAAUUAAAUAUAGUGAUGUGUCUAAUUUAUUAAUUAAAUUAGAUAUAUAAUUAUUUAUUAAUGAUAAUAAGAUUUUUAUUAUUAGUAUUAUAAGUUAUUUAAAUUAACUAAACUAAGUUAUUUAAAUUAAUUAACUAAAAGUGUGAUAUAAAACUAUGUAAUAUAAAUGUUAUUAAAAUAAUUUAGUUUGGGGAAAGUUGGUUAGCCAAACCAGGCCUUAUGGCCUUUGGCAUUAUUCCAACUGACGAGUCUUUUUAUUUUUCUAACGUAAGGGAACGUGGGAGCAGCUAGCUUAUAUUUUUCCUACGCAUAUUAUUUUCUAAGGCUAGCAUUCAGUUUCUUUUAUUAUUCACGUAUUUGACUAAGGAGGAAGAGCAGAGUUGAGAGAAAAGAGAGAGCGUAAGAAUUGAGAGAGAAGAAGAAUUACAAGGAACUUGAGAGAUUGAGAGGAAACCUAAGCAAUUUCAGUGUUAACAAGGGUUAAACAUAUUGAAGGUAUUCUAUCUAACCCUUGUAUUAUAUAUAUAUAUAUAUAUAUAUAUAUAUAUAUAUAUAUAUGAACUUACGGCAAAUUUGUUAUGUUUUGUUAAUUGUAAUUCUUUCAAAAUUGUUGUGUAACUAAAGUAUGGUGGAUGUGUGGUAUAAUGCUAGAGUUUAUGUUUAAAACGAGAAGUUUGUAUGCUAAAUUCGUUGACAGUAGGAAGAAAAUUUUGACAGUAUAUGUGUUUCAUAUGGUUCAUGGAAAAGUAUUAAUUUUGAUGGCCAAUUCUUAUGUUAAACUAUAAAUUUAAGCUUGUAUAUGUUAGUUCGUUGAGAUACGAGCAUAACGUAAUUUGAAGGAGGUGAUUUGGUCAAAUAAUGAAUUCACAGUGAUGAUUUUUGGGAUAGACUAUCAAAAAUGGAGUUUUAUAUAAAAAACAUGAAAAUUGAGAAAUUAAAAUAGUUUUAGUUGUUGUUAAUUUGUGCUAAGUGGUUGAAUAUGUUAGCAAUCAUGUUUAUGAUAGUUGUAUAUUUAUUUUUCAUGUUGUUAUCACCGUUUGAUGGAUGAAAUUGGUGUUUGUUGGGCUAAAGUCGGCUACUGUUCAUUAGCCUUCUCUGCGUCUGUCUGAACACCGACGCAACUGCGCCGGUGCCAAGGCAAAAAACGACGCAGCUGCGCCGGUCCCAGGCUUAAGUAUGGCGCAGCUGUGCCAUACCCUGGUCUGAGACAGUGAAGUCUGCUUAUUUGCAGAUCAUGUGUAAUGGACUUAUAUUAGUUUAGCAUGCAUGUUAAUGAUGUUGAGGCAUAAUAUAAACUACAAUAACAGAUUGUCAUGCGUUGUUAUAUAAAGUGUAAAAGAAUUUAAGUGAUUACUUGAAUAAGUUUUGUAAUGAACCAAAUGUGACGUUUUCAAAAGUUAAAUAUAAAUGAUAAGGUUUAUAGUGUGAUUGCAGAAUUGUUAAGGUGUUAACCAACGUGGUUAGGUGCUAGGUUAGGGUUAUGACCUAAAUGUUGGUUUAAACCCUAAAAGCUAAUAUUCAUACAAUUAAUUGUUGUUGUGAUUUCAAUGAUAUGUGUAGGGUAAUUGGAGAUUAUCUUACAUUUGUGUAGCUUACAAAAAAGGCAAGUUUUCUAACUCUACCUUGUUAUUAUUGAGCAAGUUCUUAAAUCUUAACUCUUUACAUUGAGCAAAACUUUCUAACUUCAUUAUUUUCAUAUUAAAUGCAAGUUUCCAUUCCUAAAUUAUUAUUGUGCAAGUUCCUAACAUUCUUUAUGAAGUUGAGCAAGCUUAACCUAUCUUGCGUAUGUUUGUACAAGCUUAUAUAACCUAAUUCGUUACGUUGAGCGAGAUUUAGUUUCCUAAUUAUUAUUUAAAGCAUAUAUUGUUCUAAAACAUUGAUUCAAGGGAGAUUGUUUUAACUCUUCUAUAGCGCUUUGCAUGUAUAUCAUGUUUACUCAAUUAUAUAUUAUUGUUAUUCAAUAUUUGACUUUGAUAACCUUGUUCAAAGCUUUAUCGUUGUAUUAAACCUUCAAUUAGUAAGAAAACAUUUAUUAAUUGAAUUAAUCUAUAUUCGAAUAGUGUUCUAAAAUUCUAGAAACACUGAUAAGCUAGUUCCAAACUAAACUUUCUUUAGUGCGGAAAUUCUAAAUCCAAACUGAGACGAACAACCCUAACAUAGGGGAUUUUGUACGUGUAACAUUUAGAUGUUUGUACACAAUACAUGGUACAAAGGGCUGAUCCCCCUAAGUACGUUAAGAAGGGUCCGUAUAGUCUAAAUGACUGUUAAGGUUGGGUAAUAAUACCUAAGUACCGGGGACAUAGUCCAUGGUCUUAAGACCCUCAGAUAAUUAAAGUUCGAACUUUUUUUCUAGUUUGAUUUGUAGAACAAAUUCCUUAUUGUUCAGCUUUUGUUGUUCACUCUCAUGUUACUACCAUUGCUACUUUCUAUAUUAGUGAGCAUUUGUUUGCUCACUCUUGCAAUUAACACUGUAGCUAAAGUGGAGAAAGUUGAUGAGUCAUCGACUAGCAAAGGCAAGGGCAAGAUGUCCAAAUGAUGAAGACUUAUGAGAAUUUUAUUUUAAUGAAUUAUGUUAAAGACUUGUUUUAAUAUGUGAUGUAUUCCGCAAACUUAUGUAAUAAUUUUAAGGUUAGAUUAUCUGGGAUUUAUUUUGAGAUGAUGAUGUAACCCUUUAAUGGGGAAAAUUAUUGUUUAAGUUAUUUAAAAUUAUGUCUUUAUCCUUUAUUAUGGGUAGUUAGAUGUAAUAGUUUGUGAUAAGUGAGCACCAAAUCCUGUGGGAAUGGAGUACCUGGAUUUGGGGGUGUCACAAUCAAUAACUAUUUUAGGAAUUAAAAUUUUUAAAAAAUGCUCAAGGAAGCCUUCAUACAUGGGAGGCCAUGCAUUUAUGUUAUGAUAGAUAUCAUUUGACUUGAGAAUUAACCUUGGUUGACUCAAUAGACCCCAAAGAAGAACGAGAAUAUUACUAUCCUGUUCAUUCCAAUGGUGUGUAUCUUUUUGCCAUAUAAUUAUCUCCAUUGACUCAAACUGAGGAUUAUAUUCUAACCAUACUCCAAGAUUAUAUAGAUAAUGUUCAUAGAUAUAGUCAGCAAGUGGAUGCACACAACUAUAUCUUAUGAUAACACGGAUUUGUAUGUGGUUAAACAUCAUAUAUGAUAGUAUAUGAUAUAUGAUAUGUCCUCCCAGUAUAAUUAUGUCCUCCUCAUUAUAAUGGUGUGCAUUUUUGAUGCUUCAAAAGUCGGAUUCUCAUCACCUUAUUGUUGUUCACCAAAAUUAACUAUUAAAUGACGUAUAAAAUACGACACACACAUUUUAAGUCCUCAAUACAAUUAUAUAUUAUCAUGCUAUUUUAUAAUGUAUUGAGAAACUUCAACAGACACAGACUAUAACUCUAUUCCCCUGUUAUCCCUGCUCAAUCCAGCUACACUUUUAUUACCUGAAAGAAAUUGUGAAGCAAAAGGGUGAGCACAAAUAGACCAGUAAAGAAUAUUAUGACUAAAGAUAAUUAAAUUAUCAAUAGUCGUCAUCAGUAAUAAUAUAUAAAAUAUUUAGAACAUAUGGUAGAUGAUAAAAGUUUUCAAGCAUAAUUACAGCGGAAUCAACAAUCUAUUAGAAGAGUCAAGUAGAACAUAAUGUCUACUAUCUCCUCCAAAUUAAAAGUCCAUCAUUAAUAUUUCAUUCCUGUAAUACCCAUCAAUGGUUCUUUGUUGUACCCAAAACAAAGAGAACUUUUAUCACCUUUCUUCACCUGAACCACCAAAGAUUAUAGUUAAAAUCAUAAUUCAUGUUUAUAAUAAUGUAAAUCAAUAGUUUCUCCUUGCCACAAAGGGUUAAUAGAACUUUCACUCAAUGUUCUUGUCAUAAAGGCUAAAGACACUCAAUAAUCAUAUCGUCUUUACACCUUGCACUAAAGACAUUCAAUUGUAACAAUAAUUGUCAUGAUCAUACCAAUCAAUUAUCUAUCUUUGCACUACGUGCCAAAGAUAUUCAACUGUAAUAUCAGUGGUCAUGAUCAUACCAAUCAAUUGUCUAUCUUUGCACUACGGGCCAAAGAUGUUCAGCUGUAAAACUAAUAAUCAACAGUCCAUCUUUUCACUAUGAACCAAAGAUAUAUAACUGUAAAAUCAAUAAUCAACAGUCCAUCAUUGCACUACGGGCCAAAGAUAUACAACUGUAAAAUCAAUAAUCAAUAGUUUAUCUUUGCACUACGGGCCAAAGACAUAACCUUGUAAAUCCAAUAAUCAGCUGUUCAUCUUUGCACUACAGGCUAAAGACAUACAACUGCAACACCAAUGAUCAUGAUUAUACCAAUACACAAUUCCGUUCAUGGUUAUACCAAUACACAAUUCAUGUUCAUAAUCAUACCAAUCAAUAGUUCAUCUUUGUACUAUGGGCCAACGAUAACUUUCCAACAUAAAUUUAAGUCUGAGGAUGAUAACAAUGAUAUAAAGAAUGAAUCAAGUGAGAUCAAGAAUAAAUAUUAAAAAUUUAUAAUUCAAUUUAUCCAAAGUUCAGGAAUGUCCAAAUUGUUAACAUGAUAACUAAUUGUAGAGUAAAAUUCAAGAAUGAUAUUCAUGUAUCAAAAAUAAUUUGGACAGAAAAAAAUAAAUUUUGUCGUGAAUAGUACCCCGAAUAUUCAAUACACUCAUUAUUUUUUGAUGUACAUCAUAUAUUCUUGAUGUAGAAGAUCAACCACACUUUCACUCAAUAGAAAUAUUAAUCACCUGAGUCUCUCUGAAAUUUUCAACUACUCCAUGAGAGUACAUUGCAAGCAAAGGUUUUUAGCGAUUAAUUCCUAGUGAAUUAAGAGUUCAUUGCUUAAAAGGGUUGUUUCCUUGAGAGAUGAACACUGAAAACCUUUGCAAGCAAUGAACGCUCGGGGUUGGGAGUGUGGUCAACUUACAGAGUUAGAUCUAUGAGUCCCUAACAUCUCUAAUUGAAAUUUCUAAAUUAUCCGGUCCUUGUAUAUUUUUCGGUGGACAGUUUCUACCAAAACAAGACAAAGCUGAAAAAACCGAAAAACCCUACUGCCCUAAAAUUUUUGUGGGUUGUUUGGGCCACUUAAACAUUGAAAUAAAUUUAGGCCUUUUGGGAAAUGAAAAUAUAUGAUAUAAUGAAACUCUGGUCAGAAGAUGAACAAAUUCCUACAUCAGACGAAGGAGUUAUGACCAAUUCAAUAUUAGGAUUUUUCAGAUAAAAACUGUCAUAACUUGAGUUCUACAACUCUGAUGACCACAAAAUUAAAAAUGGAAAUUCAUGUUAAUAUGUAUAAAAUUCUUCCAAGACUUGGGAAUUUUUGGAGUUGAGCAUGAUAUAGUUCAUUUUACUAAGUUACGUACUAAAAUGGCUCUUUGAAAAAUAAGAAAAUUGAAAAAUUGUAAUACAAUUAUUUUUUUGUGGAAAAUAUAUAGGUAUGUGUGUCCAGGCAGAGAAAAAAAAUAAUAUAAUGGUUAAGGAGGCCUAAUGAAGAAAAUAAAGUUACGAGAAGGUAAAAUAAUUACUUACCGACAAGUCUGGAAUUAUUAAAAUAAUUUAUAUCGGCUAGAAUAUGUUGACAUUUGACGUAUGAGUUUAUGUAAAGGUUAAUCACAUAUUUUUAUGAGAAUCUUAUAAUUAUCACGUUUAUGUUUGUUUAAGUCGAAAGAUUAAUUAUCAGAAUAGGUUACGAUAAUUACCGGCGAUAUAUAAUUAUUAUAAAGUGAUGAUUAGUUUAAUCAUAUAAAUUGUCAUGAAUAAUGUAGCUUAUCAUUUGAAGGAAGUUAUCAUUGCGUUUCCACGGGGUAGAACCUCCUCAGGGGGGGGGGGAGACCCGGGGAAAUCCCCUGAGGGGCAUCCGGAGCGCCGGAGGAAAGAAGCGCAAGGGCGUGAAGCUUUCCGUGGACAGGACAGGGUCCGUCAACUAGCUUAGCUACCGAUUGGGGGAUGCUUUCACCUUGAAGGUAUUAACGGGCUUGAGCCAGGCCACGCAAGCAAAGGAAAGAUUAAUUAUAGNNNNNNNNNNNNNNNNNNNNNNNNNNNNNNNNNNNNNNNNNNNNNNNNNNNNNNNNNNNNNNNNNNNNNNNNNNNNNNNNNNNNNNNNNNNNNNNNNNNNUCUGCUCUUUCCGGUAAGUGAGUAGGGCCAGUCCCACACGAUUAGCAUAGAUAAGACAAGUCAGGUAGGAUUGGUCGGAGAAGGAUUGGACAUUUCCAUUGAUCAGCUCAUCCAAUCCAGUCUAUGAUCAGGCAAGGGGGCCUAAAAGUAGACGUAACUAUAGGCUUAAGCUCGCUUAAAUGCAAUUUAUCCUUAGGCCGAAUACCUAGUUGAGAGGGGUCCCUAAUGUGAGACCCUUCGUCCAUUCAUUCAGGAUCAAAAGCGGGCCUAAUUGAAUCAUCUCAUCGAGGAUUGCAUGUGAAAAGAUCGGAUCUUCGAAAUCCCCAAUCGUUCGUUACUGAACCUAAAAACUCGCCGCUUCUCAUGUAAAGUAGUGUUCUCGCUAGCUGGAACGGAACUCUCAAAUGGAGGAACAAGCGUAGGCCUUCUUUGAGUAUAGCUUCAAGUAGCUCUAAGAAGUUUACGUCUCGGUUCGGCACUCGGCUUUCUGAAGUUCUUCCAUUCCAGGGCGUGAAGCUUUCCGUGGACAGGACAGGGUCCGUCAACUAGCUUAGCUACCGAUUGGGGGAUGCUUUCACCUUGAAGGUAUUAACGGGCUUGAGCCAGGCCACGCAAGAAAAGGAAAGAUUAAUUCUAGGCCAGUGAAAUGAAUUAGAUGGAAAAACACCGAUACAGAUAAGUUUUUCAGAACUUUUUUUUAUGUGUAAACUUAUUAAUUGUUAUGGGGAAGUACUUUAUGUAUUAUAUGUAAUUCUUAUGAAUUGUUUAAGAGGUGCACUAUGUGUUUUAGUGUGAUACGAAUUUAUUGAAAUUAAUUGAUGAUUGAAGUUAGUUUAGUUAUGAAAACUUACUAUAUUGUGAUAUGAGGAAUAUGAUAUGUGAUGCCCCCAAAUUCGGGUACUUGAAACCCUUAUUUAGUGCUUCAUGAUAUCAAGUAUUCAACAUAAUAUAAUAUCAAACAUAAUAAAUUUAUUACAUCAGAGUACUUCUAAUCCCAGGUACGUAGACCUAUAAGUGCUUAUUACAUGAUAGUUAAAUAUUUACAACAUAUAUAAACUAUCUACUACAUAAUAUUCCAGUUAUGACAUAACUUUUCCCUUUCCCCUGUCCUUACUAGACCCCUCUGCCUGAGCCUUAUUAGCUGAAAACAUUUAUAAAAAAAAGUAAGAAUGAGCAUUCAAUUGCUCAAUAAGUAAUAACAUUCUUUAAUAGCUCAACAAUAAAUAAAUGUUUUCUUUGAAGCAUGCUUUGACAGUGAAACAAAUAUGUAAACCAAAUAAAUCUUAAAUUAUCCAUACUCUUGGAAUCAUCAUAUCAAUUUUGAAUAGCUGAGAGGUCAUAAGACCAUGAACAUGAAUUUUUUUUCUUGAAAAGGUUCUAUCAGAAAUUUAUAUAUGAACCGUCUUAUCUUAUGGGCAUGGUGGGUGAUCAGCCCUUUAUGCCCUGUAUUGAUCAAUAUUCUUAUCCAAAAUAAUUUUUAUGUUCAACGUCACCACUCCUAGAGUGAAAUAAAAAUAUCCCACAAUAUAGUUGGAUAGCUUAAAUCAUGGCACAAUAAUAUUUUAAGAAUUAUUAUAAAGAAAUUGAAAUAUUUUACAUCUGUGUUUGGCCAGAACAAAUGGCUCAGACUUCCUUGUAAUCUGUUCAUGCAUAUUGAAUUUCAUUUGAUAUACAUGAAAAUACAUAACCCAAUCUUUUGAAGCUGAUUGGAAUAAAAAGGUUAUUUAACCUUGUAUUAUUCAUAAAGAAUGAGAGACAGUUCAAAAUUUAGAGAACAUAUCCAUAUAUGAAUAAUCCCAGAAUACUUGUGUUAGUUCCCAGUAGGCGCGAUAAAUAUCUAGAAGGGGGGGUUGAAUAGAUAAUUAAAUCUUUUUCUUUUAAUCUUUUUAAGUUGAUGGUAUUCAAUGCACAGCGGAAUGAGUAUAUGUGAAAAACCUUCUGUUAUAUAUCUUAAGUUAAUGAGAUUGAGGCAGUUAUGACAGUUAUAGCAGAUAUUGCAGUUAUAGCAGUUAGUGAACACAAUAGUUGUAAGUGGUUCAGAGCACUAAAAGCUCAUAGUCCACUCUUUUACUCCUUGAGUAGGAAAUCCACUAAGGAUGUCUGUUACACUUCUUGAAUCUCACAGAUUCUUUCUAGACCAGCAGUCUAGGUACUUCUUAGUUCACUCUUGAACUCUUCAAGUCCAGCAGACUUGGUCUCUCAUAGUUCACUUAGAACUCUUCAAGUCCUUCAGACCUGGAACUCUUACUUCAGUUGAUUGAAUGUUGUUUAGAUCGUGAUUGAUGCUAUUCAGUUUCUAGUAAGCACUUGUUUGAAAGAACUGAAUAGCUGAGCAAGCUUCCUUUUUCUCAGAUCGUAGAGUUGAGCGUUGAGUGUUCUUAUGCAUUUUUUUUGUUUAAUACUUGCUUCUUCUUUCUUAUCUGUCUUUGAUCUGUAUAUAUGUGAUCUUGAAAUCUAUCCGUUGAAGUCAUCUGAUGAGCCAUUAAAUGCAUUUGACAUUUCUGAGCUUUGAUGGAGACUUUUUUGCACAUCUUCUGAAUUACACUCUAGCCCACUGACACAGUAGACUGCUUUUUCCCCUAACACCUUAAAAGGUGUUUUCCUCUGCCCAAUGGUCCUUUUCUUAGCUUAUUGAGUACGUUUCUUUUGAUCAAUACUAAGGAUAUCUUUUGUACGUUGGGACUGGUGAGAGCUUCAACGUUCAAAACCCAUUCCAUAUUUGUUGGAGUCCAUCUUCAGAUGAACGAUAGGGCUUGAUGUUUCUGACACAAAACAGAUGACACUCUACUAUCAAUAUCAUAGUGUCUUCUCAUAUUGGUGCCUGUUCGUAAGAGAUCACUACGAUUUCUCACAAGGAUUUUCACACUAUGUUCUUCACUUACUCGUCUUGCAAACUCUACAUUUUCGAGAGCACACUACGAUAUUUUAACACUACGAUCUUCACUUGCUCGUCUUGCAGAUUCUGCAUUUUCGAGAGCACACUACGAUCUCUAGUUUCGGCAAAAGUCUGGACCACACUUCGAUUCGUGGAGAGGCCCUUCAAGGCAGAUACACUACGAUCAUCUCAGCACUACGAUCCUGCCUUAGCUUCUGCAUUCUAUUGAUCAACCGGAUAGACUGCGAGUCUAUCUAUUUCUUUCUAGCCAUAGAUCAACCUAACAGAUUUGAUCUCUUUAUCUAUACAAGUGAACAUUAAAGACUAAGAUCAACCUAACACUUUUGAUCUAUCACUAAGUCCUUGUACAUAUAUUCUUUGAAGGACUUUACAUAAUCAUGAGUAGUUUCAUAAAACAUCAAAUCACAAUAUGCAUUCUUCCAACAAUCUCCCCCUAUUUGAUGUUGACAUAACCAAGGAGAUUUGUUGUCAUGAUUAUAAAGUUUUAUAUGCAGUUGCAGAAAAAUAAACAUGACUUAGCAUUUCAGUGAGCAGCUGAAAUUUUUAAAGAAUAAGCAUGAAUUUAUUGAUGUAUGGAGACAAAUUUUACAUUUAAGAAUGACUACAUCAAUACAAUUUGAAAUUCAACUUAUCUCUAUUUCUUUGGCCUUUUGCUUCUUGGAGGAUUUGCAUAUUCCUCAGCUCUCCUCUUUCUGCUUGCUUCAUCUCUUCUGGCCAUAUCUUCCAGCUCACUUGGGCUUAGCCUUGGAUUGUGAUCAUGUCUAUUCAUGAAUGCAGGAUCUCUAAUUGGCAUUCUUAGACCUGUUGUUGUUACCGUAUGAGAGCUGGUGGCUGGCCCUAGACUCCUUAAGGGUUGAGCCAUUAAUAUUUCCUGCUGAUCAGAUCAUUGAGUCUGAUGGCUGGAUUGUGGAGUCUGCUGGUGGAUUUUCCUUACAGAAGGAUUCCUUGAGGAUUGAGGUUGGAGACCUCUACCUUUUCCUUUGCCUCCUGAUCUCCUCCUUUACCUUUAUUCUCCCCCUUUAUGUCAACAUCAAGGGUUCGAAUGUCAUCUGAAAGACGAUUAAGGCCUUGAACAAGCUCGUUGAGCUGACUCUUGGUCUGAGCAAUGUCUUCUCUAUUUUCUUUGAUUAGAGCUUCAGACCUAGCUUCCCUUUGCUGAAGGAUGGAGAGAAUGUUGUCUGUUUGCUCGCCAUUGCUGACAUAGAAUUGUUGAAAUUCUUUGACAGCAGUCUGAAGAUUUUGGAUGCUUUGUAUCAUUAGUUGGUUCUGAGAUUCUUGAGUUUUCUAUAGAAUCAAGACAACAUCCCGAUGUCUUUUAGCUGUGAGGAAGUGAAUAUCAUCCCUGUCCUUUAUGCUUUGUAGCAUUUCUUUGAUAAUCUCUUUGAGUGUUUUAGACAGUUCGGAGCUCAGGGAGCUUGGAAGAUUGUUUGCAGCAUUGAUCAUUGAUGUCAAUCUUAGCUGUAUCAAUGCAGUAUGAUCUUCAAGGCUCUCAUCUAGUUUUUUGAUCACUUUCUCAGACAUGGCUGACAAAUCAGCCUUUGUGGAUAGUUCUGAUAGGAAUUCAUCUAGAUUUGGAAUCUGUGAGGGAGGUGGCGUGCUCUUGAAUUUAUAUUGCAGUGAGUAGAGAGAAAGUUCAAGAUUGAAGCAUUCAUUUCUAGAUGAGGAGGGAAUAUCUGAAGGAGGGGCCUGUGUUUGGAUGUUGGAGCUUAGUGACUCUACGAUUUGUGGUGGAUACUCUACCAGGGGUCUAGAGUGAGGGAUCGUAGAGGUAGUAGGCUGAGUGAGCAUUAGGGAGUUAAUCUUAUUUGGUUCCUCAGUUACAGAAUUUUGAGAUUCUGUAACUAGAAUUGAUUCAGUUGAUGAAGAAUUACUUCCAACCAUUGCGGGAAUUCAUAGAAUUGAUUAAAUGAGGGUGGUGGCAAGUGAUUAAUUCUGACAGGAGUGGGGAUAUAUAAUACCUCAAGUGUGUUCUCUGAGGAAGGGCUGUUGGAGAGAAGCUUCUUGGCAAAAUUGAAUUUCCCUGGGAAUCCAUUUGCAAGUACUGAGAUAGCUGGAUACUCUUUGAAACUCCAGAACAUGUGAUCCCAAGAGUUCAGAAUUUGAGCUCGGUGGAAAGGCAUCAUAGGAAGAUAUGCAAAUAGUUGCUCAUAGGUGGAUCUUCUGUGCCCAUGAAUGCCUACAGCUAUAAUCUCAAUCUCAUCAUCUUCUUCUCUGUUUUCACUAGAGGAUUCCAUUAUGUCGAUUGCUUUAGGUUCUUCAUUAUCUCCUCCAGGAAUUUCUUUUUCAGCUAUUGAGGUGUCAUGAUCCUCCCCCUCAGCUUGAUCAUUCUUUUGAAAUGUCAAUAGCUCCCCCUCAACUGGAGCAUCCUCUGGUGGAAGAUCUUUAGGCAUCUCCCCCUCAGUAUGAGCACCUUCUAUCAUUAGAUCUUUAGGUGUCUCUCCCUCAGCAGGAGCCAUGACUACUUGACAUUCACUUGCUGGUUCCUUUUUAGCACUCAGUUCUUUUGCUUCCCUUCUUAGCACUUCUUCAUUGGCAAGAAUAUACUUCUUAACUAGUUUCCUUCUUGGCCUUUUAGGCUGUGCUACAGCCUCAGGACUCUCUUUAGUUGUGUCCUUCAGAUCAGCUAAGAUAUUUGAUGCAGUUGCUUCCUUGUUUGGUCUAGGCUCUACGAUCGGAGGAGACUUGACGAUCGAAGAGACUUGACGAUCGAAGAGGCUGAUGGCUUUUUACUUUUGUGGCUGGUCUUACUCAUCUUCAGCAACUGAGAUAUAGUUGCUCUAUCUUCUUCUGCCUCUGCUUGCUGUUCCUUUCUCCUUAGGAUCCUUAGAGUCUCAAUUUCUGAGGACUCUACAGGCUUGUUGGUGGUGGAUCCUUGAGGUUCUUCUGUAGUUCUGGCUUUCCUUUUCCCUUUGCUCUUUCUGAUUAAAGCAAUGGGUUCUCCCUGGUUAGUUUCUUCUUCUUCUUCCUCAGUUUCCUUGACAACAGACAUAUUCUCUGGCACUCCUGUUCCUUUUAUCUCACCAGUUCGACCACUGGAUUCAGACAUCAACUUCACAUUUUCAGCUGGAUUUCUCUUCCAGUUUUCAAACAACUGUUGGGUCAUUCGUCGAUUUGGGUUUAUGGCUUCUCCUUCAUCAUCCUCAAUCAGGUCACCAAGAGUAGCCUAUAGGAUAAUGAUGAUAAAUCGUCCGUAGAGCAUCUUCUGAGAGCUCUUUGUCUUCUUGGAGCUAACCAACCAUUUUCUAAUCCAUUCAAGUAAUAAAGCCCCAUAGUUUAGUUAAAUUUUAUAGCAUAUGGAAGUCAUGAGUUUGAGUUGUAUUUCAUUCACAGAGUCAUGACCUGAGCUUUUACAACAUAUGCAUUUUCCAACAAUGUUAGCCAAAAACUCAUACCUCUAUGGAAACUCCUUCUUUUUGUAUCCUUUGACAGAGGGUGAUUUCUUGUGAUGCAUUUUCUUGAGACCUUUAUGGAAGUCUAUUCCAUCUAAGGAUGGAUACCCUUCAGAUUUGAGCCCUAGGGCUAGAUUGAUGUCUUCAGCUCUUAAUUUGAUUUGGACGUUCCUUACUUUCAUGGUGAUGGUGUUGUUUUCAAACACUCCGUUAUUUUAGAAUUCUUUUACCAGCUUUGGGUAGAUCAAUGUGUCAGUACCCAAGGCUUCUUCGAGACCUGCCUUCUUUAGUAGCGACAAUGUCUUGUGAAAUUGGGGUUCAACCAUUUUAAACUCGUCGAAACACAGUCUGUAGCAGGAGACAACACUAGAAGCUGCCAUUGAUUUCUUUGUAGGAAGUGAGGCUGACAGAGCUUGCUACUGAUUUAGGGUUUCUGCUUGAGAGAGGAAGAGAGAGAUGGUCUUUUGAACUUCAUAUUUCAAAAAGGCGAUUUUAAUUUGUACCUGAAACUUCCCUCUCUUUAUUUUGCUUAGUGGGACAGGUGUCAAACUUUGCUUGGCUGUACGAAUUCUUGACAGAGAAGGAUUGUACUGAAUUGCCCUUAACUUCUUCUGGGAUGAUGUAUUCAUUAGUGGGACUACGAUCGUUGAGAUGGUCCUUGGAGUCGUCGAGUCUGUUCUACCAUCGUUGAGUCUGUGUAGCAGUCGUCGUGUCUGAGCUGUAAACGUAGAGUCUGAACUACGAUCAUUGAGUCUGACUGGCAAUCGCAGAGUUUGAAAAAGUCCUUGUGAUGAAUCUUUUUGACUUGGCAUUUUCCUUAAAUUAAGGUAGCUCAGGAAGGGCCAACCUCUUGAAAGAAACAAGGGUUAGGUUUGUUCCUGAGGAACUUAUCAGAGAGAAUGCUUUGAUUUAAUCUUGAUCAUCAUAGGGAGCUCCUUUUGUUUUGUUGAUGUAGUUCUAUUAUCGUUGAGUCUGCACUAUGAUCGUUGAUUCUGUUCAGCAUUCGUUGAGUUUUAUAUACUUUGGCUCUACGAUCGUGGACUUCCUUUGAUCAUGUCUUUUAUUUCAAAUACAACCUUUAAAUCUAUAUGGUUAGCAUAAAAUAAAGCAUAAUAUUUCAUGUUUGCAAGUUAAGCAUGCCUAGCUCACUUAUCAGUUUGUUGAAUCUGGAUUCAUCUAAAGGUUUUGUAAAAACAUCAGCAAGUUGAUUUUCAGUAGGGAUAUAUUGUAAAGAUAUUGUUCCAUUUUGUACAUGAUCCCUAAUGAAGUGAUACCUUAUUUCUAUAUGCUUAGUCCUAGAAUGCAUGACAGGAUUAUGAGUUAUAACAAUUGCACUUGUGUUAUCAUAAUGAAUAGGUAUGGAUUUGAAUUCAAACCCAUAAUCUGCUAGCUGAUUUUUUAUCCAUAGAAUCUGCGCACAGCAACUACCAGUAGCAAUGUAUUCAGCUUCUGCAGUUGAGGUAGAUACUGAGUUUUGCUUCUUGCUAAACCAGGACACAAGUCUGUUACCUAGUAAUUGACAAGUGCCACUGGUACUUUUUCUAUCUAUUUUGUAGCCUGCAAAAUCAGCAUCUGUAUAACCUGUUAGCUCAAAUGAGGAUUCCUUGGGAUACCAAAGCCCCAAGUGGGGUGUACCUUUGAGGUACCUGAAAAUCCUCUUUACAGUAGUUAAAUGAGAUUCUUUAGGACAUGCCUAAAAUCUAGCACAAAUGCAUGUUGCAAAUAUUAUAUCUGGUCUACUGGCAGUAAGAUAUAAAAGAGAACCUAUCAUACCUCUGUAUUGAGUUAUAUCAAUACUUUUACCUUUUUCAUCUUUGUUAAGCUUGGUUGCAGGAGCAAUUGGGGUUUUCAUGGGAGAGGCUGAUUCCAUACCGUACUUCUUGAGUAAGUCUUUAAUGUACUUGGCUUGGUUUAUGAAAAUUCCUUCAUCAGUCUGCUUUACUUGCAGUCCAAGAAAGAAGUUUAGCUUACCCAUCAUGCUCAUUUCGAAUUUGCUCUGCAUAAGCUUGGAGAAUCUCUUGCAUAACUUUUCAUUAGUAGAACCAAAGAUAAUAUCAUCAACAUAAAUUUGAACUAAUAGGACCUUAUCUUUAUGCUUUCUAAGAAAUAGUGUGGUAUCUAAUUUACCUCUAGUAAAUCCAUUUUCAAUAAGAAAGUUAGUCAGUGUUUCAUACCAUGCUCUAGGUGCUUGUUUGAGACCAUAUAAGGCUUUGUCUAAUCUAAAGACAUAAUUAGAAAGAAAUGGAUUGAUGAAACCUAGAGGCUUCUCUACAUUGACUUCUUCUUGAAGUUCACCAUUCAAGAAUGCACUUUUGACAUCCAUCUGAAAGACUUUGAACUUCAUGUGAGCAGCAAAGGCAAGGAAUAUUCUGAUGGCUUCUAGUCUGGCAAUAGGUGCAAAUGUCUCAUCAUAGUCAAUACCUUCUUUCUGAGAGUAGCCCUUGGCUACUAGUCUAGCCUUAUUCCUUGUUAUCACCCCAUCUUCAUCCAUCUUGUUUCUGAAGACCCACUUGGUUCCAAUUACAUGAUGGUUCUUUGGUCUUGGGACCAAUUUCCAAACUUUGCUUCUCUCGAACUGAUUAAGUUCUUCCUACAUGGCCUCUAUCCAGCUGGAAUCUUCCAUAGCAUCCUCUAUCUUCUUUGGUUCUAUUUGAGAUAGGAAGCUUAGAUAGAAGCAUUCAUUUUGAGUAGCAACUCUUGUCUUGAUUCUUGCGUUCGGAUCUCUAAUGAUUAGAUCUUGAGUGUGAUCUCUUGCCCAUCUGCUUCCUGUUGGAACAUCCAUUUUUAUGCCUUCUUGUCUCAGAUCUUCAAGAUUUAUUUCUUCUUCUUGAUGUGGAGGUUCAUUGUCUGGCAUAGGCCUCUCUACGAUCUCAUUCUCUUGCUUAACGAUUUCAUUAUUGGGCACUACGAUCAUAGUAUUGGGCUCGACGACCUCGUUCGCAUUGUCUUGGAGCACUAUUUUGUCUAAGUCUGUUUCAUCAAAGAUGAUGUGAAUUGAGACUUCUACACUCAGUGUCUUCUUGUUGAACACUCUGUAGGCAUUGCUGUCUGUGGCAUAUCCAAGAAAGAUUCCUUCGUCUGAUUUCGGUUGAAACUUUGUCAAGUACUUCUUUCCAUUGUUGAGUAUAUAGCAUGCACAGCCGAACACAUGAAAGUAGCUGACAUUUGGCUUUCUUCCUUUCCAAAGUUUAUAAGGAGUCUUCUUCAUCGUAGAGAGUAUGAGUGAUCUGUUCUGAGUAUAACAUGUAGUGUUGACCGCUUCUGCCCAGAAGUACUCCGGUAGAUGAGCUGCAGCUAGUAGAGUCCUUCCAGCCUCUAUUAAUGUCCUGUUCUUUCUCUCAGCAACUCGAUUUUGUUGGGGAGUUCAUGGAACUGAGAAGUUGUGACUAAUCCCAUUGUUUGUGCAGAACUGAUCCAUUUUUGAGAAAUCGAAUUCUCUGCCAUGAUCACUUCUUAUGUUCUUGAUUUUCUCUCCUUUCUCAUUCAUCACCAGCUUGAACAUCUUGAUUAGUUGGGGGCUUGUUUCAUUUUUUGAGGUUAGAAAAAAUACCCAUGUAAAUGUGGUGUAGUCGUCGACUACGACCAGUGAGUAUCUCUUUCCCCCAUGGCUCAUCAUUGGAAUUGAUCCAAAAAGAUCCAUAUGUAGUAAUUACAGAGGCUUGUCAAUUGAGUUGAUGGUUUUUCUCUUAAAUAAGCUUCUGGUCUGUUUCCUAAGUUGACAGGCAUUGCAGGGCCUUUCUUUAACGAAGUUGAAUUUGGGUAGGCCUGCAACUAGAUCUUUUGAAGCUAAUUUGGACAUGCUUUUGAAGUUGAGAUGAGAUAAUCUUCAAUGCCAUAGCCAGCUCAUUUCUUCAGAUGCUUUAGUCAUAAAGCAUAUUGUCUCGUCUGAGCUUAGUUGUCCAAGAUUUACUGUGUAGACAUUUCCUUCUCUUGUUCCGGUUAGCUUUACUGCAGAUGUCUUCAGGUCUCGGACUUGACAUUGAUUGUUGAUGAAUGUUACUUGAUGACCCUUGUCAUAGAGUUGGCUAAUGCUUGGAAGGUUGUGCUGUAGUCCUUCCACAUAGGCCAAUUUACUGAAUGAUACUGCACCAUUUUCGGCUGAGCCAUAGCCUCUUGUCUUGCCAGUGCCAUUAUCUCCAAAUAUGACUGAGGGACCUUCCUUCUCUAUGAAGUUAGACAGAAGGGCUUUGUUCCCAGUCAUGUGCCUUGAACAUCCACUAUCCAGAUACCAGGUUGUGUUUGUGGAGCUCCUUUCCUGAGGUAACAUUAAGCCUUCAUUUUGGUACCCAUAUUUGCAUGGGUCCUACUAUGUUAGUACCCUUGGGGACCCAAAUCUGCUUUAUUUUGGGUCUCACGUGCAUGGAAUUAUAAUGAUAAUUCGCAGCCUUAUGACCAACUUUGUGGCAUUCAAAGCAUUUGAUAUGAUGCAUGUAAGUGUGUUUGUGAAAGUUCUUCCUCCAUUUGGACUUUUGUGGGUUAUUGGUCAUCCUUCUACUAGGUUGAUAUCCCCUUUUCCAUGUGUUCUCUUGUUUCAUUAAUUGAGGAGAGUAUAUCUCACUUCUACUGUGUCUUCCUGGUUGGUUCGUAGAGUUGAUUUUAUUGGACUCUACGAUCCUUCGAGGUUGAUAAGUAGUAGCUAGAUUACUUCUCUUUUCUGAAACCUAGACCAGCAUGAGAUCCCUUACUCUUGGGAAUAUGAAUUGAAUUAUCCAGACAGGGUUUGACAAGCUCAUCAUUCUGUGAGGAUUUCACAAAUAUAAUGCCUUUACUAAAACCUGAGGCAUUACUAGUGUUAACAUCCUUUGUUUUUUCCACACAUGACUCUGAGAUAGAUCCCCCAAAGCCUAGCCAUGUUCUAUCAGAGACAUUUCUCUGAUUAGAGAUUAAAGAAUCCAUGAUUGAAGAAGAUUUAUUCUAUGUGGAGAUGGUCUUUUUUAGAUCCUCAAUUUUUGAGGUUAGACUAGACUCUUGUUUUGCACUAAGCUCAUUUGUUUAUCUUAAGAGCUUAUUCUCAGCUUCAAGCUCAGAGAAAGAAUUAGCACUGAGAAGGGUUGUUUCCAGUUCUUCUUGAACCUUUUCUUUCUCCUUUUUAAGAAGUGAAUAAUCCUUAGACAGAACUCUAAACCACUUCAUGUAUUGGUGUAGAUCAGAUGUUAUGCCAUGCAAUGUAGUUCUAAGAUCAUCAAUAUCUACAUCAGGAGAGUUAAAGUCAAAUACCUCAUCGAUACUUACUUCGUGUAUGUUAGAGUUCUGUUUGUCCCUUGCAUUUUUGACCAUCAAGCAGAGAUUUGCUAUUUGAGGGUCUUCAUCAUCCCCAGAUUCAGGAGUUGAGUCAUUGUCUAAGUCACUCCACGAUCCUCCAGCUACAAGACCUUUUUCUUUCUUCUGUGGCCCUUUGUUGCCUCUGUAUUCUUUCUUUGAAUGAGAUUUCUUCUUGAGUUCUUCUCUAAGAGGUUUGUUACAAUUUGCAAUAAAGUGGCCUGAUUUCUUGUAAUUGUAGCAUAGGUCAUUCAUUUGCUCCUGGCUGCUGUAGUUGCUGACUUUCUUUGGCUUGUUGGUUUUGCCUCGUCGCAUGAACCUUCUUAGCCUUUUCACUAGCAUUACAAGGUCCUCAUCAUCAUCUUCAUCAUAAUCAGAAUCAACUUCAGUGCUGACUUUGGAGGCGUUAUCUGUUGCUUUAAGGGCUACACCUUUAUCCUUCUGCCUACCUUCAGAUAAGGUUUCUGCUCGUUGAGUCAGCUCCAGUUCAUAUGUGAGAAGGUUGCCAUACAACUGUUGAACAGUCAUUUCAUGUAGAUUUUUGGAUUCUCUAAUGGCAGUGGUUUUGGCAUCCCACUUGCUUGGUAAGGCUCUCAUGAACUUUAUGAUUAGAUCUUUGUUAGGAUAGAUCUUCCCAUAGGCUCGUAGAGAGUUGAGCAGUACAUUAAAUCUUUCGUAAGUGGCAGUAACGUUCUCUCCUUGAACGUGAGCGAACAUCUCAUAUUGCUGAGUCAAGAGAGAUUGUUUGUUUUCUCUGACUUCUUCUGUUCCUUCAUGCAUGAUGAGCAGUGUUUCCCAAACCUCCUUCACUAUUUUGCUGCUGACCACAUUUUUGAACAGAUCAUCUUUUAAAGAUUGGAACAAGAUGUUUUUGGCCUUUUUCUCGAGCUGGAUAGCUCUCUUCUCGUUCUCUGUCCAUUCUUCCUUGACCUUGAUCUGUACUCUGUUUGGGUCAUCUGUAGUUGGUGCAAGCUUUGUAGGAACAUAGGGUCCAUUCUGAACAGUUUCAAAUAGAUCUUCAUCUAUUUCAUCUAUGUAAGCUUGUAUCCUAACCUUCCAGUUAGCAAAUUUUUCUUUGUUGCACAUUGGUGGCUUGCUGCCUCCUCCAGUCUUUGAUUCGCUUGGUAAGUGUGCCAUUGGAUCUACUUAAGCUUUGUAGGUUGUAUUAUAGAACCUUCUUUGAUACCAAUUGUUAGUUCCCAGUAGGCACGAUAGAUAUCUAGAAGGGGGGUUGAAUAGAUAAUUAAAACUUUUCUUUUAAUCUUUUUAAGUUGAUGGCAAUCAAUGCACAGUGGAAUGAGUAUAUGUGAAAAACCUUCUGUUAUAUAUCUUGAGUUAAUGAGAUUAAGACAGUUAUGACAGUUAUAGCAAAUAUUGCAGUUAUAGCAGUUAAUGAACACAAUAGUUUUAAGUGGUUCAGAGCACUAAAAGCUCCUAGUCCACUCUUCUACCCCGUGAGUAGGAAAUCCACUAAGUAUGUCUGUUACACUUCUUGAAUCUCACAGAUUCCUUCUAGACCAGCAGUCUAGAUACUUCUUAGUUCACUCUUGAACUCUUCAAGUCCAGUAGACUUGGUUUCUCACAGUUCACUUAGAACUCUUCAAGUCCUUCAGACCUGGAACUCUUACUUCAGUUGAUUGAAUGUUGUUUAGAUCGUGAUUGAUGCUAUUCAGUUUCUAGUAAGCACUUGUUCGAAAGAACUGAAUAGCUGAGCAAGCUUUUCCUUUUUCUCAGAUCGUAGAGUUGAGUGUUGAGUGUUCUUAUGCGUUUUUUUCGUUCAAUACUUGCUUCUUCUUUCUCAUCUGUCUUUGAUCUGUAUAUAUAUGAUCUUGAAAUCUAUCUGUUGAAGUCAUCUGAUGAGCCAUUAAAUGUGUUUGACAUUUUUGAACUUUGAUGGAAACUUUUCUGCACAUCUUCUGAAUUACACUCUGGCCCACUGACACAGCAGACUGCUUUCUCACCUAACACCUCAAAAGGUGUUUUCCUCUGCCCAAUGGUCCUUUUCUUAGCUUCUUGAGUACAUUUCUUUUGAUCAAUACUAAGGAUAUCUUUUGUACGUUGGGACUGGUGAGAGCUUCAAUGUUCAAAACCCAUUCCAUAUUUGUUGGAGUCCAUCUUCAGAUGAACGAUAGGGCUUGAUGUUUCUGACACAAAGCAGAUGACACUCUACUAUCAAUAUCAUAAUGUCUUGUCAUAUUGGUGCCUGUUCGUAAGAGAUCACUACGAUUUCUCACAAGGAUUUGCACACUACGUUCUUCACUUGCUCGUCUUGUAAACUCUACAUUUCCGAGAGCACACUAAAAUAUUUUAACACUACGAUCUUCACUUGCUCGUCUUGCAGAUUCUGUGUUUCCGAGAGCACACUACGAUCUCUGAGUUAGUUUCGGCAAAAGUCUGGACCACACCUCAAUUCGU